rnacentral:lncRNA from 1 species
UCCCUUAUUCAGAACUUUUGCGAUGAGUUUGUUAUUUAGCUGGUCUGAUGUCACAAAACCGACAUGAAGAGUUCCUUCCAGGACCAGCAGGAUUUCACUGGCACGGGGGUGAAUAUGAGGUGGCCUUUGGCCGUAUGGCGCAUAGUCAAUGCGGAAUGCUGAUAUGCCAAGGGUGUUGAGGCCUGGAAUUUGCUCAACAUUUGCAUCUGUUUCAUCAACACCAAGUCGAUUUGCUGUGUUUCCAGGCUUGUCUAGCCCUGAGAAGAAGAAAUCAUCUGCUCUCGCAAGCUUGGGGUCCUUGCAGAACUUCCCAUUCACAAACACUACAAGAACACACACACAUACACACACAAAGGGGGAAAAAAAGAAUAAUUAAGUAGCAGCACAAAUUAUAUUGAAAUUUAUAUGUUUCGUUAGUUCAGCUUACGUACCACCAUCCUUCGGGUCCUCGAUGGCUACACAGAUAUCUUGUAGAGGGCUAGGGUCAGAGGCAGAGGCCAAAGAAGAAGCCAAAGCCAAGAGAGCAAAACCUAUAAGAAAUUGAAUUGCCUUCAUGGUGAUUAAUUAACAGGAUGUACCUAUCUCAAACUUUAAUCAAGUGUUGUGAUUUGAGAAUAUUGCGAGGCAAACUAGACUAUUUAUAGAACGGAGUCCGUGAACGAGUUUGCGUGUUCAAUUAAUUAGUCCUCGAAGCCGGUCAAGAUUACUGAGUUCUCAUUGGUUAUCUUUGUAAUGUUUCUCAGCCUUCAUUUUCAUUUUUGUUUUCAAAAUUUACACAUCUUAAAUAUAAAUUGUAAAACGUACAAAACAAAGUCUGGCUGACAGUGAUAAAACCCAGACAGGUUAGACACGUUUCCGCCAAUCUUCAAAGCGAACCAUAAAAUACGAUAAGAAACAAUAUUUUAACGCGUUUUCCAAAGCUUAAUUUAAAUAUAAUUUUUUCAUUGGAAAGAAACGAGUUGAAGAAUUUAUGAAAAUGGGUGAGAAAGAAAUUCAUGUCUCUAGCAACAGACUAACAGUUCGGAGUCAUGUUCUGUAGAUGUCGAUGUUACCGGACUUGAUUGGUUUGUUGUUGGACUUAAUGAAGAAGCAUUAUUAGCCUUUUUUUUUUCUUUUUCAUAGCAAUUUUCGUAGCUGCUUUAACCAUUUUUAGUUCUAUCAAUGCUUUACCGAGUCAAUGAUGCACAUGUUUUUUUCAUUACAUGUUAAAGUCACAAAUCAUCUGCUUCAAGAAAAAACGUGAAGACUAUGAUCAGGAGGAACCAAAAGUCUUCUAUCUUAUUUUCAGUGGUCACGUUAAUUAGAAGCUGGAGUCGGCACGUUUUGUUAGAGAUAGUGAAAUCCUUUUACAGUGUCAAUUGAUAUAUAUCAUUUCAACUUUAAAAGUUAAUUUUAAUAUUUGAUAAUUUUUUUUAAAAUCGCUUUUAGUAAAAUCAUGUAGAUCUUGAAAAGUAAAAAAAGAUUAGUUUUUUAAAAUUUGAUUUCGAUGAUCACUUUUAUACUUAAUACAAUUUCAUAUAUAUCCUUAUGUAUAAGAAAAAUCCAAAAUCAUCCUCAUUAAUUAGAAAAUAAAAUUAUUAAUUUGAAAGAGAUUAUUUGUAUUACCAAUUAUAUUGAGAUAACAAGAUAAAAAUAAAAUUAAUAAUGUAAAUAUUUAUUUUAGUUAUCAAUUUUUAUAUAUACACACCUAAAAAUAUUUUAUUUACAUGUUUAUAAAUUUGUAAAUAAAUUUUAUCCAACAAAUGUUCACUUUAAUCAUUUACAUUCUUACAACAUUUUAACAGUAAGAUUUACCAAAUACAUACGACUACUUUUAAAACCCACACACUUUUAAAAAUAAAUUUUACUGAACGUUUAAUUGGUUCUCUAUUAUAGCUGAUUAUUUCUACAGUAUGACUAACAGUAAUUAUUUUACAAGUUAUAACAUUAUUAAACUAGCCCAUAGUGACUCAAUUGAUUAAAACUAAGUCAAUUAAAUCACUAAGUUAGGAAAACAAACCGCCCUUUAGUAAAUUUCUUAAUGUAAAUAUUAGUAAAUUAUGAUGGAAAUAAAAAUAAUAAUCUCUUCCUUUGUUCACCUUUUAAUUAAAAUCCGUUUCAUUAGCUAUUUUGAAUAACAAACUGAAUUGAUCACGAAAUAAUAAUCUCUUUUUCCAAUCAUAAUCAUUUGUAAGGACAUUAAUUAUGUAUUUUUAAUGGGUUCAUAUGUUAAUUAUAUUGUAUACCGUUUGUCAACCAAACUGGCAACCAUUUUAUUGGUUAAAAUUCAUUCAUAUCAGUAUUUAAGAUACGCAUCACUUUCUAGCAACAAUGCGUCAAUGUUAUAUAUGUUCCCGUUCAAACUUUCCACUUGCUGCUUCACCCAUGUAAGUUAUGAAAAAGUUGCUGAGAAAAUGAAAAAAUAAACCAUGGCCAUGAAAAUAAUAAAACGCCGCCAGCCGUUUAGUAUAAUUCUAGGAGCGAUUUAUCAUUUCUUUUUCCUUUUUGCUUUUUAUUUCAACAAUUUAUUAUUGACUAGUGUAUUGCAGGCUUGCAUCAAUGAAGUGUUUGGAUCAUUUAUCCCCUUUUUUUCAAAUAUAAUUCAGAUAUAAUUCUAGAUUAUGCUGGUAGAAACAUCGUCUCAAAGAUUCUAUUGGGUCAUCAAUAGCUGUAUAUGAGUAUAUCUUGAAGAGGGCUACUUUUUCUAGGAUAUGCUGCUAGAAAAUUUUGCAACACGUAACCACUACGAGUUAGUCUUUUUUGUUUAAUUAAGACUCUAAUCUCCCUUUCUAGAAUGCAAGAUAAAAAAUUAAGCUAGAAACGUUAUAUCAAAAUAAUGAAUAGUUACUAAUUUUUGUCAAAUAUAAUUCUAGACAUUCUAGUCACACAUUUUACCAUUUAGUCCAUAAAUUUUCAAAGUACAUAUUAUAUUUCUAAUAUUAUACUUUUAUGUUCAAAUUACUCUGUUGAAUUAUACAUGCGGCUUUUUAACAUAUUAUCCGCUGUGGGUUUAGAUUUAGUAAUGGCAAACCCGCUGCGGGUGCUGCCUAUUGCUAUCUCUAGCCGUGUACUUUUUUUUUCCUUUUAACUACAUUGAUGGAAAGCUGAAUUUUGACUUUUUAUAUUCUGACGAUCCUUCCUUGUACUUCAGUAUGAAGGAAUACGAAGAGAGGGCUGUAUCUUUGGCAUUGGAUCGGCAAAAGCUCCAGGCCCUCACCAAUAAACUUAAAUCAGUACGCUUGACAUGUCCUCUAUUUGACACAGCACGAUGGAUGAGUUGAAACUAAUGUUUGCGAUUGUUUUGCAGUUCUUGGCCCACUUUGUGAAAGAAGUGACUUACAAAUGGAUGCUUUUUUUUUUGGAAAUUGCAAGUCAAGAAUCUGGAGAGGUCAUAUAUCAAAAUGUGGAGUCUCCAUUGCUCUGGGCAGAAGCCCCAACACUUCAAAGUAACUGAGAAUGACUUGGACUUCCCUUGCGAUAGAUAGGUAUAUGGGAAGGGAAACGGGAUUGUAGAUAAAAGCAAAUAGGAAUAGUAGAACGAUGAUUAUUAUUGUAUUUAGAAGAAGAAAUUGUUUCACCUUAUUCAAAUGACGCCAUGGCUGAGUUUGUGAUGUCAGUGCUGAUAAUGGAUUGUAGUCUGUGUACAAAUGUACUUUUCUAUUUAUAAGGAUUUGUGAAAAACGUUGGAGAUUAGAAAAGAAAAUAAAUAGAUUCUUCCUCAAGCCAUCAGUUCUGUUCUAUUAGAGUUGGGACCAGUGGCACCUCCCUAAUCUCAUCAUCAAAUUCCUUCUUCAGUUAUAUUUAUUUCAUCUGUGAAAACGUCGUUUUUUUUCCUUUUUUUUAAGAACACUUUUAAUUUUUAUUUUAUUUUUUUAGUUAAAAGUAGUAUUGUGUUAUUAAUUUUUAUUUCUUUUGUAAUCUUAUUAUUAUCUUAUGCACAAGAUAAAAGAUUUUUUAGGUGACGAGUUUUUCAAUAUUAAUUAUUUAAUUAAAUUAUACAUAUGUUAAAUUAUAAUUUAAAAAUAAAUUUAAGUAUAAAAAUAUUUAAUCGAUAACAAAUCUGAAAAUAAUAAUAGAUUAUUUCAAAUUUUGUAUGGUUUAUUUUAGUUAGAUAAGAAGUAACCGGUACAAAAUUUUAAAAAAAAAAAGAUUGAUUAUAAUUGUAAGUAAUUUUUUUUUUUAAAAAGAUAGAUUAUCAAUAUAAGUGAUUUAUUGAAAAGAAAAAUUUGUGUAUGAUUAAUUUUAUUUGAAGCAGGGUUUUUGAAGGAUAAUGAAGGGGUCCCAAACACUGUGGAGUUGUUGGCUCUUCCGCUGUCAAAGUCACGUAUGCUUGGAAGCUUUUAACCACCGCUGUCAAAAGUCACGUAUACUGCAAUUGGAUCAUGGAUUUUUCAUUUAAUAAGAUAACCACCGGCGGCAACUCUGAUAUACAAAAACAUGUAUUUCAGAUUACGGAAUCUAUCCAAACAUAUAGCAUGCGAGUGCGAUUACCAGCUCGAGCAGUUUUUAUUGCGGAAUUCUUUCAAACACAUAGCACGCAUGUGAAGUUCCCACAUUGGACCUUCCAAGAUGUUAGUUUCUCUAUUCAGAAACCGAACUCAAUGCCUCAUCCCCUCCUUCAAAACCAUGACCACCGCAGCCGCGGCUAAAACCUCAAAAGACGAUUACUUCGCAGCCGUAAACCACAUCGCCAUCAUAGUCCGUCACUACAUAUAUCCAGAACGCACCCUCAACAGACUCAACCUCACCCUCACCUCAGAGCUCGUCUACCGCGCCUCCGCGUCUGCCACACUACUUGCCCUUCCAAAUCCCUCCGCUUCUUCACCUGGGCCCGCUCCCAGCCCCAAUACUCCCCCACUUCCCUCGAAUUCGAACAGCUCAUCUGACCCUCGCCCACCACAAACUCUACCAGUCCAUGUGGAAUCUACGUUCUUCUGGCAUUUGAUUGCGUUCCACCCAAGCACGCUGUUAUUUAUUUUUAAGAAAUAAUGGUGUUUGUAAUUAUUGUCUUUUCUGGCUUUAUCUAGAGUUUAUCUGAGAAAUAAACAGUCAUAAAUAGUUUUGGUUGAUGGACUCUUGGACUUGGUAUUGGAAUUUGGAUUGAAGCAGAGGCGGUUGGCUCGGAGAAAUGAUUACUUUGAACAUUUUUUGCAUGCAUGUAUUUUAUGAUUUUUCAUUUGCUUCUAACCUUGUUGUUCAUUCAAAUGAAAUCAAAUACUCAUUUGGUAUGAUAGAAUCAGUGGGCAAUCAUUUUUAUUUUAGCUUAAAAACCAGGUUAUCUUUGCAUAGCUAUAGUUUUAUAGUUUCUGUUUCUGUGCUUUAUGCUUUCAAAUACUGAUGAUGAACCGAGUGUUUAGCCCAGAGCAAGCUUUCGGGUUUAAGGACAUUAAUUUGCAGCUGAUUCAGCGGUUACACAUACAAUGAUAAAAAUGUGUACCCAAACGCACAGUUUAUGAGCAUGUCUCUCACUGUAUACACGAUUGAGAGUGGGUCCGCCUCCUACUUUAUAACAAUUUAUGUUAGAGUAAUGAUACAGCUACAAACUCUUGUACAAACUUAUUUUGUACAAACUGACGUGGCAUUAAUUCAUUGGUUGAAUGAAAAUAUAAAAUAGUAAAAACAAAUUAUGUGGGCCAAGUGAUAUUUAAUUCAACCAAUCUUAUCAUGCCACAUCAGUUUGUACAAAAUAAGUUUGUACAAGAGUUUGUGGCUAUAUCAUUACUCUUUAUGUUAUACUGACAAUAUUUUCCGCAGUGAUCGCAUGUUUGAAGUUUUGCUUCUCGAAAUGGCUCCUUUCAUUUUUUUCUUUAUUAAAAUAGACAAUUUUCGUUUUUCGUUUUCGACAAGGAAGGUAACUGAUAUGUUUAACGAAGGGAUGAUGUUUUCCUUCAAAAAAUAGUUCAGAGUUAUCGGUAGCGUCUUGUCUUUAAUUUUCUGAACUCCGUGCAGUUGGUGUAAUAGUUUUUGCUGUUCUUCUCUUUGCGGCUAGUGCCUAGAGAGAUGGAGAGAAGCUGAAUGUGAACUAGGAAGGUGGAAAUGUUGUACAUUAACAUACGUAAUCAACUACGACUAUAAAUCCUUUUCAUGGACCCAAAACAUCAUAUCAAUCAAUGCCAUUAUAGUUAUCAAAACUAAAAAAUUAUGGCUUUUGAUAAGUUACAGCUUGUUGUAAGUUUUUGUCCUUACAAAAACAUACAAAAAAUAGUAAUAUGACAGUGAGCACACUUAAUUUUUGUAUGGGCUGUAAAUUACGCUAACUUAGUGUAACUAAAUGUAUUAUAAGAAAGACAAAAUUUAUUGAUUUUUUUCUUAACUAAGUGAUUAGAAUACAUUUACUCAUAAUUAUCGAAGCAGAAAUUAAGUGAUAAUCAAGGGCUUGUAAAACACUUAAUUUCAAACCUCUAAAUUUGAGAACUAUAACAAUAAGAGAAGUUAAGUAACAAUUAAGUGCUUAUAAAACGAUAACUUUUAUUAUAGGUAAAGGAGAUAUGUAUUCAAUAACUAACCACAGGCUGAAGCUCAUCUCAUAUGAAUACUAUUGUGCGAUAGAGAUUACAAUUGUAUGACAAAUGACCCUUGAUAAAUUUAGACAACUAGUAGAAAUUAGAAUUUAAAUUUUUUAUUUUUAAGUUUUUCCAAUAUUCCAAUGUUAAACAUUUAAUUAAAAUUAAAUAAAUCUUAAGGAUAUAUAAAAUCAUGUUUUUAUAAUAGGCCUAAAACGAAACUUUAGAAAAUACAUUUUUUAUGUUAAUUUCUCUUAUACAUUUAUCUGUUACAUACAAAUAUGAUAUGAAUGAGUGAUAAACUCUUUCAUAAAUUAUAUAUUUGACAAGACCAAACCAAAACUUCCACAAAAUAAAUAAUUAAUUAGUUAAUCCAAAACUACCUCGGUUAAUCUGUUAAAUGUUGAAUGUGUUUGAAUAAAGUAAUUUAUAACAAUUUUAAACAAAAUAAAUUUGGUCUAUUCUAUAUUUCAGUCGUCAAUGAGAGUUCUUUUCACCCUUCAACUACUGGACUCUCGCAAUUUAGAGUUAUCAUUUUUAUUAUUAUUGUUAUUGGUCAUAAUUUUAAAAUUUGUUGGGAAAUCUGCGGAAUUAUAUAUUAAACAUCUAAAUUAAUAAUAUGUAUGAAAUAAAUGGCAUCCCACACAAAUAUAAACAAUAAUUUUACUUGAAUUAAACACCCAAAUCCUAUAUUAUAAUAUUAUGCAUAAUUAAACUUACACACUAGACCAUUUUAUUAUAAUUUGGACUUGUGAAGUAUAUUAUUCACUCAGAUUUAUCAACCGUAGAUCACUUUAUCAAACCAUGAUUAUUGUAGAAUUAAAAAAGUUACUGCUUGUCAACUGUAAAUGGACGAACUGUUUAUACUCACCCUUUAUAUAAUUGUGUAAUUAAUUAAUCUUUGUAUAACUCAAAAUUAUUGUUUACUCUAUCAAUCUUAAUGAAUUGAAAGUAGAUGGUUUUAAUUUGCAAAUGUUUUUGCUUCUAUAUUUGUAACUAUUUUUAUUUAAAAAAAUUCAUUAAACAAAUAAAGUUGACCAAAGCAUUCUCCAAAUGCCGACCGUUUUAAUUGACAAAGCUUAAAAACUUUUAAGGAAAUUGGGGCAGAAUAAAUCCUUGAUUAUGUGUAAACUGAUAACCUUCAAAAACCAUUUAAAUUGCCUUUCUAAAGUAUUCUAAUCCAAUAUUUGCUAUAUGAUUUCGAACCAAGUUCGAUUUGUUCAAUUCAUGAUUAAAUGGCAAAGAUAAUAUUUUAAGGAGUUGAAAUAGUUCCACUUUAUUAAUAACUCGGUACAAACCUAAUAAAAAUGAGGAUAUUGGAGUCUCUCGCUCCCCUUGUAUUUGAGAGUAUUUUCGCUUAUUUAUUUAUUAUUUUAGAUUUCUAUGCUGCGUUUAUCUAGUUUAUUAAAAAAAAAGGAAGAUCCUCCUUCGAAAAAUUUCACAAAUUCCAUGCGAGUUAAGUAAGAACUACGCCAUUCAUUAUUUUUAUAUAUGCGGAUACAAGUUGAUCAUAUAUAUAUAUAGAGAGUAACUAAACUAUGUCUUCAGGCAACUAGUUAGCCCCGAACUUUGCUUGAAGAGCUUUCACUACAUAAGGAUCAAGUUGGAAUGCCCUGGCGAGAGCAUAAGGAUCAAUUGGUGGAUCUGAUCCGAAGACUACAUCUGCAAUUGUAAUAACACCAGGAUUCUGGCUACUCAAAGCAGCGAUGGCAAACAGCGUUGGUUGGUCGAAUAUUCACUUGGAAAUGAAUGAGCCCAUUUGGAAACACAAACACAUCUCCUUUGUUCAGGGCUCUGGUGAAGUGUGUUCUUUAGCUGGUUUGAUGUCACAAAACCAACAUAGAGAGUGCCCUCUAGGAUUACUAGGAUUUCUGGGGCACAAUGAUGAGAGUGAUGUGGGUUUGGCCGCUGUUUGCCGCGUAGUCGAUACGAACUAUAGAUAUGCCGAGUAGUGUUGUGCCCUGGAAUCUGUUCUACAUUUGCAGUUGUGACUGUUGAGCUAACUUGAUUCGCUACGCUUUUAGGGAUAUUGUGCCCUGAAAAUUAAUCAAAACUACUUGUUAAAAAGAUUCCGUUUCGUUUUGAAUUUUUUUGUGCCUUUUACUAUUUUAUCCCUAUAAUUAGACUUAUGAUACAUAAAAUGUCAACAAUUAAUCAAUAAGAGAAAAAAAUUAGUCAUAAGUCUGAUUUUAAUGGUAAAAUAAAAAAUAGACAAAAAAGUACAAAGUUUACGUAAUCAUUUUAAUGCCAAAGAGUUUUAAUGAGUUUUGAAACGUAAGGAGAAAAAUAAUAAAUCUACUAGAACAAUAGGAAGAUUUUGAUCAUUUUCCCACUGAUAUAAAGAAAAACGAUACACACCACACGUCUUGAUCUUGAAAUCGUUGAUGGCGACACAAAAAUCCUGAAGACGGCUAGGGUCAGAGGCAAUGGCCAAUGAACAAGCCAAAACCAAGAGAACAGAAGCUACAGGAAAUUGAACUCCUUUCAUGUUGAUUAGCCACAUGCAAUUAGGGAUGGCAAAAAUUCCUACGGGGACAGGUACCCUCGGGGAUUUUCCCCAUUCAGGGAGGGUAUGGGAAUAAUUUCAUACCCAAUUUCUUAUUCGAGGAAAGGAAGGAGAAAUUUUUUUACCAAUUUCUUAUUCGGGGAGGGGACAUGGAUGAGGUGGAAUCCUCAUCCCCUACCCGUUUUCCCAUUUUAAUUUUUAAUUUUAUUAUUAUUUUUUAAAAUUACUAGUAAAUAAAUAAUAAAAUUUGAAUUAUAAAAUUAUAAAUAUUGGUAAAAAUAACAAAUAUCAAAAUAUUUAUAUUAUUAAACUUUUAGGCUUAAUUAACUAAUUAAAGUUCUAAAUUUUUAUUUAGGACAUUAAAAAAACCGGGUAAAUUCUAUUAGCCCAAAAAUUUUGUUUUAAUUUUAAUAUUCAUUAAAUGUUUUAAACUUAAAUAUAUUUUUUAUUUAUUUUUAGAUGUUAUAAUUGCCCACAGCGAAUCACAAUUUUAAUAUCUAAUUUAAUCUAAUAUUUGCUCUUGAUUUGCUCCGACUUAACUAUUGUGUUGUAAAGGGAAUAGUCCACAUUUAUAAAGUGCCAUGCCACCAUUGAAAAAGUUAAUUUUGAAUCUAAAUUCGAUUUUAUUUGUAACAAUUUUGUAUUAGACUAUUAAUUUAUUCAUGAUAGUUUGUAAAAGAAGUUUGUAUCCCUUACAUGCUGCGUUACUUACUAAUUUAAUGUANNNNNNNNNNNNNNNNNNNNNNNNNNNNNNNNNNNNNNNNNNNNNNNNNNNNNNNNNNNNNNNNNNNNNNNNNNNNNNNNNNNNAAUGUAUUAGUUAUUCGGGGAUUGAGGACCCUUGGGGAUCCCCUAUUAUUAUUCGGGGAGGGGAUGUAGAUUCUCUCAAGUAAUUCUGACGGGGACGGGGACAUACGCAAAAUAUCAGGGAUGGGUACGGGGGGAUUGGUCCCCUCCCCUCCCCUCCCCAUUGCCAUCCCUACAUGCAAUUGCUUGCUACAUGCAUGCAAAUGUUCAACAUUAUGUGUGAUUGCUCUUAUCAAGCGACAUCAACUAGUCAUCUACCAAUUGAUCUUGGGGCUCAAUAGAAUCUGUUUCACAUCAGAUUUUGCAUAACAAAAAGUAAUGAAGAGAUUAAUUAAUAUAUGUGUGUGUGUGUGUGUGUGUACGGAAAAAAUAUAUGUAUAAGGAGAGGCAUGGGAAAGGCUUAGCUGCUAAAUAAAACCAACCAUAAAUUAUGUUUAUUACAUGGCUACAAUCAGCCUGAAGAGAGGUUCAUGAGAGAGCUUUUUUUUUACAUUAAUUAAGAUAUGAUAAUCUAGAGCUAAAACAAUAAAGCCACUAGUGAAGAGGCCAUUUAUAUUAAAAGCUCAUUAAUUCCUUCUCCUAAUCGCCAUUAAUGAACUUAUGCUGAAGAUCUUUCACUGUCUUCGGGUCCAACUGGAAUGCCUUGGCAAGAAAAUCGGGAUUGAUUGGAGGAUUAGCUCCAAAGACCGCGUCGGCUAUGGUAAUUUCACCGGGGAACUGGCUGUUUAGAGCAGAAUAGGCAACUGCAUUUGUUUUUCCAACGUUGAAUUGGAAGUGAAUCAAACCUUUUGGAAACACAAAAGCAUCUCCCUUAUUCAGAACUUUUGCGAUGAGUUUGUUAUUUAGCUGGUCUGAUGUCACAAAACCGACAUGAAGAGUUCCUUCCAGGACCAGCAGGAUUUCACUGGCACGGGGGUGAAUAUGAGGUGGCCUUUGGCCAUAUGGCGCAUAGUCAAUGCGGAAUGCUGAUAUGCCAAGGGUGUUGAGUCCUGGAAUUUGCUCAACAUUUGCAUCUGUUUCAUCAACACCAAGUCGAUUUGCUGUGUUUCCAGGCUUGUCUAGCCCUGAGAAGAAGAAAUCAUCUGCUCUCGCAAGCUUGGGGUCCUUGCAGAACUUCCCAUUCACAAACACUACAAGAACACACACACAUACACACACAAAGGGGGAAAAAAAGAAUAAUUAAGUAGCAGCACAAAUUUUAUUGAAAUUUAUAUGUUUCGUUAGUUCAGCUUACGUACCACCAUCCUUCGGGUCCUCGAUGGCUACACAGAUAUCUUGAAGAGGGCUAGGGUCAGAGGCAGAGGCCAAAGAAGAAGCCAAAGCCAAGAGAGCAAAACCUAUAAGAAAUUGAAUUGCCUUCAUGGUGAUUAAUUAACAGGACGUACUUAUCUCAAACUUUAAUCAAGUGUUGGGAUUUGAGAAUAUAGCGAGGGAACCUAGCCUAUUUAUAGAACGGAGUCCAUGAACGAGUCUGUGAGUUCAAUUUCUUAGUCCUCGAAGCAGGAGAAGACUAACAGAGUCCUCAUUGGUUAUCUUUCUUAGGGCCUGUUCGGUAAUUUUUUCCUCUCAUCUUAAAACAUAAUUUUUUCCUCUCAUCUUCUUCCUCUCUCUCUCUCCCUCGUCGUCAAAUCUUAUCUCUAAGUGUCUCAUCUUCUUCCUUUCUCUCCCUUACCAAGUUAUACACGUUACUGCUUUUUCCUUUUUUCUCGAUCAUUUUUUCAAUUGACAUUGUGCUUUCCUUCAAUUUACUCAACUCAUUGGAAAGAAACGAGUUGAAGAAUGUAUGAAAAUGGGUGAGAAGGAAAUUCACGUCUUUGGCAACAGACUAACAGUUGAGAGUCAUGUUCUGUAGAUAUCGAUGUUUCCGGACCUGAUUGGUUUGUCGUUGGACUUAAUGGAGAAGCAAGAUUAGGCUUUUUUUUUUUUUUCUUUUCAUAGCAACUUUCGUAGCUUCUUUAACCAUUUUUAGUUCUAUUAAUGCUUUACCAAGUCAAUGAUGCACGUGUUUUUUUCAUUACGUGUUAAAGUCACAAAUCAUCUGCUUCAAGAGAAAACAGACUAGGAUCAGAAAGGAACCAAAAGUCUUCCAUCUUAUUUUCUGUGGUCACGUUAAUUAGAAGCUGGAGUCGGCACUUUUUGUUAGAGAUAUCCUUCUACAAUCUCAAUUGAUAUAAUAUCAUUUCAACUUUAAUGGCUGCCCGAGGUUUACCGACCGGCUAGCUCAUUAUUUUUUUGAUAAAAAUUAGUUACCUUCGUUUGUUAUAUAAUCAGGGGGAUAUUGGAAUAAAAGAGAAUGGAAAAUGCUAAGUAUCAAGAAGAAUGAGAGAAAUCUGAGAGAAUGAAGCAUGUGCUGAGAGAAGAGAGAGAGAGAAAAAGUUGACAGAAGAGAGAGAGAUGAAGCAAAACAGAAACCUGAAUUGUAGUUUCUCUCAGCUUUCUCUCGUUCUUCUAGCCAUCUAGCAGCACUCAAAGAGAAUAAUUCUUUUUGACGCUUUAAUUAUGCAGUGAGUGCUACUAUAUGACUAGAAGAACGAGACAAAGCUGAGAGAAACUACAAUCUAGGUUGCCGUUUUGCUUCAUCUCUCUUUUUUGUCAGCUUUUUUUCUCUCUCUCUUCUCUCAGUACAUGCUUCAUUCUCUCAGCUCUCUCUCAUUCUUCUUGAUACUUAGCAUUUUCCUUAUGUAAUUGAUCCCCUGCAUUGGGAUUGUACCGUUAUAUAUUAUUUGCUGUUUGUUUUUUAUUUAAGAUCUGAAUAAGUUUAAAUUAGUAUGAAUUUUAAAUAAAUUUAAAUGCAUGAAUUUGAAUAACGUAUUUAUUUAUUUUUUGUCACAAACUUUGAGAAUAAAUAUUAAGUUAUUUUUAACUUCAAAAAUCUAAAAUCAAAACCUUUACAUUUGUGUCCUUACAAUUUUAAAUGUUAAAUAUAUAAUGAACAUCUCAAAGAAUAUAAAUAAGAUAGUAUUUUAUCAUAAUAUAUUUAUAUUUUGUAUGAAUUUUAAAUAAAUUUAAAUGCAUGAAUUUGAAUAACGUAUUUAUUUAUUUUUUGCCAGAAACUUUGAGAAUAAAUAUUAACUUUUAACUUAAAAAAUCUAAAAAUCAAAACCUUUACAUUUGCGCCUUUACAAUUUUAAAUGUUAAAUAUAUAAUGAACAUCUCAAAAAAUAUAAAUAAGAUAGUAUUUUAUCAUAACAUAAAUGGUGCUCAGUGAAUGCAACCUAUUAAUAUUCUAAAUUAGAAUUAUAUUAAUAAAAUUUUGUGAAGAUAAAUAAUUCUAGUUUGAAGAAAAUAAAAAGAUAAAAAUAAUGAUAAUUUACUACUAUAUUAGUAAGCUUUAUUUAGGUAAGGAGGAAAAUAAAUUAAUUAGAUAAAGGUAUUGCAGAGAAUAUUUUUCAAUGAUGUGAUUCAAAAUUUUCAGAUUAAGUAAAAAGCUAAACAAAAUAAUUAGCUUAAAAACUUAAUGACUUAUCAAUCACUAAAUUUUUUUAUUAAAUUGAAAAAAUUAACAGAGUUAUGGUCCAUUUAGGAUUUAUUUCGGGAGGUGCUUUUGAAAAGUUUAAAAGGUAAUUUUGAUGUUUGACAAAUUUUUUAAAAAAUCACUUUUAGCAAAAUCACCGUAUCAUACAACAAAUUUUUAAAAGUAGAGAAAGAGUAGUUUUUUAAAAUUGGAUUUCGAGAAUCCCUUUUAUACUUAAUACAAUUUCAUAUAUAUUCUUAUAUAUAGGAAAAAAUCCAAAACCAUCCUUAUAAAUUAGAAAAUAAAAUUAUUAAUUUUAAAGAGAUUAUUAUUAUUACCAAUUCUAUUGAGAUAACAAAAUAAAAAAUAAAAUUAAAAAUAUAAAACAUUUAUUUUAGUUAUCAAUUAUUAUUUAUACACAACUAAAAAUAUUUUAUUUACAUGUUUAUAAAUGUGUAAAUAAUUUUUAUUCAACAAUAUGUUCAAUUUAAUUAUUUACAUUGUUAAAACAUUUUAACAGUAAGAUUUACUAAACAUUUAAUUGAUCUCUAUACAGCUAUNNNNNNNNNNNNNNNNNNNNNNNNNNNNNNNNNNNNNNNNNNNNNNNNNNNNNNNNNNNNNNNNNNNNNNNNNNNNNNNNNNNNNNNNNNNNNNNNNNNNAUUAAAUCAUUAAGUUAGGAAAACAAACUGCCCUUUAGUAAAUUUCUUAAUGCAAAUAUUAUUAAACUAUAAUGUAAUUAAAAAUAAUAAUCUCUUCCUCUAUUCACUUUUUUAAUUACAAUUAGUUUCAGUAGCUAUUUUGAAUGACAAACUGAAUUGAUCGCGAUAUAAUAAUCUCUUCUUUCAAUCAUAUGGGCAGGUUUGAGUCACUGAGGUAGCUGUGGGAAUUUGUUUUCGUUGAUUUCUGCACUGGGCUUUUUAGGAUUAUUUGUAAAGGCAUUAAUUAAGUAUUUUUAAUGGGUUUAUAUGUAAAUUAGAUUGUAUGUAAUAUUAAAGGUUUGUCAACCAAACUGGCAACCAUUAAUUAAGUUAAAAUCCAUUCGUGUCAGUAUUUAAGAUACGUGUCACAUUCUGGCAACAAUCUUAAUAUGUGUUUCCAUUCGAACUUUCCACUGGCUGCUUGACCCAUCUAAGUUAUGAAAAGUUUCUGAGAAAAUGAAAAAAUAAUCCAUGGCCGUGGAAAUAAUAGAACGCCGCCAGCUGUAUUGUAUGAUUCUAUGAGCGAUUUAUCAUUUCUUUUUUCUUUUUAUUUCGACAAUUUAUUACUGACUACUGUAUUGCAGGCUUGUAGCCAUUAAGUGUUUGGAUAAUUUAUCCCAUUAUUUUCAAAUAUAAUCCAGAUAUAAUUCUAGAUUAUGCUGGUAGAAACAUCGUCUCAAAGAUUCUAUUGGGUCAUCAAUAGCUGUAUAUAUCUUGAAGGGGACUAAUUUUUCUAGGAUAUGCUGGUGGAAAAUUUUGCACCACGUAACUACUAUGAAUGAGUCUUUGUUGCUUAAUUAAGACUCUAAUCUCUCUUUCUAGACUGCAAGAUAAGUUUAAGCUAGAAACAUUAUAUCAAGGUGUACACAUUUUCAUCAAAUAUAAUUGUAGACUUUCUGGUCACACAUUUUACCAUUUAGUCCAUAAUUUUUCAAAAUACCUAUUAUGUUUCUAAUAUUAUACUUUUAUGUUUGAAUUAGUCUGUUGAACUAUACAUGUGACUUUUUAACAUAGAAUACCCUACAUACCUUUUAGUAGGGGAUUUAAAAAAAAGAGCGCAUUAUAUUAAACUAAGGUAGUAUUUGUUUUUUUUUUUUUUGUCUGAAAUCUAAAUGAAUCUGAAUUUUUCUAAAGUCUGAAUGGGUCUGAUUACGAAAAUUUAAAUAAUAUGUUUAUUUUUCUUUUUUAAAUAUCUGAAUAUAAGUGACAUUUUGUUUGUUUUUAAAAUAAAAACAUCUUAAACUUGGUUAUUUGACAUUUAUGUCCUUGUAAAUUCAAAAAAAAAAAAGAGAAUUAGAUUUUAUAGUUUAGGAAAUAAGUUAUUUUACAGAGAUAUUUUUAGAAUAUAAUAUUUACUUGUCUUUCAGACCUUUUUUCAUACAGAUAAAAGUCACAAAGUUUAUUUUUUCUAUUCAUAUGUAAAUGUCUGAAAAUCAGACAUAAGUUCCAAAAAAACAAACAAGUAUAUUUUAGAAAAGGUCUGAAAUUAAUAAAAUUUCAAACUUCAGACAUUUAACAAACAAUCUCUAAGUGUAUGUUUAAUAUGAUUUAUCUAAUGGUCAUAAGUGCUUAUCUAAUCCCAUAAAUUCCUUUUAAAAUUAUUAUUAUUGUUUGAUUGCAUUUUAAGUAAAGUUUUUAAGGAUUAAAUAAAUUUUUUUGUCUCUACUAACAAAAGCUUAAAUUUUAAAAUUUUGAGAGUAUAGAUUAGAGAGACCUUUUAAAAAGUUAAAUCGUCCAAAAUGUUCCAUUAUUUAUUUCACAAUAUUAUGACAUUUCUCUCUCUCUCUCUCUCUCUCUCUCUCUCUAUAUAUAUAUAUAUAUAUAUAUAUAUAUAUCUUAAUUUUAAAAAUUGAUCUAUUAAAAUAAUUUUAUAUAAUUUUUAACAAAGAUCUCAUCGACAACCAAACAACUAAAAUUUCUUUAAUAAAAGCUUCACUUAUAAAAAUUUUACUAACAAAAAUUUUAUUUGAAUAAAUUUUAUCAGAAAAAUUAUACCAAACGAAGCUAACAAUAAGAUUAUAAUAGUAAAAGAAUUCAAUAAUUGCACUCUUAAUGUUACCAUUUAAAAAUUAUUAAGUUAAGAAUGAAAUAGGUAAUUUGGGAAACCCAUCUGGAGGGAUUUGCUUAACAUCCUUUAAAAUUUUUUCCCAGCUGGAAGUAAUUGCUGAACAUCCUUUUCAAUUCCCGAGUAUUAUCUAAUCAGCUUAUUUUGUCAUUUUUAGGUGUUUGCAAAGGCUUUUGGCAAGGAUACUGGGUUGGCUUACGUGUAGUGGACUGAUCAUGUUGACUUUGUUCGGUAGCACAUUUUAUUUUACGCGUGUCUAGUUGUAACCAUGUCUCUCACUGUAUACACCAGUGUGAGUGGGUCCACCUACUAUUUUAUGACAAUUUAUGUUAUACUGACAAUAUUAUUCGUGCUGAUCACAAGUUUGAAGUUUUGCUUCUCUCGAAGAACUGGCUCCUUUCAUUUAUUUAUUUAUUAAAAUUUACAUUUUUUUUCCGUUUCCUUGCAAGAAAGGUAAUUAGAUUAAGUUUAACGGGGCGAUGAUGUUUUCCAUUAAAUAAGUAAAACACAAUUUUAUGCCAGAGUAGAAAUGGCCAAUCAAAACAAGGGUUAUCCAUGUUCGUGCCAUGCCGUCGUGUGCUUAAUUUUUUUUUCUCGUACCUUGCCCAUAUGUGUUGUGUUGUGUCUAAAAAGAAGUUCAAUAAUUUUUUUUAGUUUUUUAAAAGCACGUACUAAGUAAUUGAUAUAUUUUUUUUAAGUUUAUGUUUUUUUUAGGUCUAUACCUUUAUUCAAAUUUAAUAGAAUUGAAAAUUUAAAACUCAAGUCUAUAUUUUAUAAUAAUAAACUAAUAAUAGUAAGAGAAUGUAAUAUUAAUUUUUAAGUUUGACAUUUUAACAUUAUUUUUUUUUAUACUUAACAACAACAACAAUAAUAAAUUUUUCUUAAGGGUUAACUUAAUUGUUAACUUAGACUUACAUAGAGUCAUAGAUCAUAAUUCACAAUAAUAUUAAUGGAUAUUUAUAAAAUCAUAAUAAUUAUAAUUUUAUUUAUUAAAAUCAUGAUAUCAAUUAUAUAUUUAAUAAAUUAUAAAUAUAAAUCAAUUAUAGUACUCUUUAAACUAAGAAUUAAAUGAAUUUAAAAAAUUCAUUUUCAAGUUAUUUGUAAAACUAUAAAAUUUUAAGUUUACUUUCAUUAAAAAAUAAAAUGUGCUUAUUGUGAACUUUUUUAUCGUGCUAUACUUAGUCCAUUUCUAAUCAUGUAGUGCUUUUAAUGCUCGUGUGCUUAAAAUUUUAAGUCUGGCCCAGUCCACGUGCGUACUGUGCCAUACCACAUACCCUACCAAAACGUGCUGGUAUUGUGCCGUACUGUACGAAUACAUGUCGUGCCAUGUGUCAUCUAGUCCAUUGGCCAUCUCUACGCCAGAGUGACAAUAUGCCACAUUGAGAAGAAUUGUGUGCCCCUAAAGCUGGAUUAAUAAUUUAAUUUGAAUUGACAUCUAUAACAGUUGUAGGCUAACCAAUAUUUCCACAGAAAAAAGUAGUUCAAAAUUAUUGGUCGCAUCUUGUCAUAAAUUUUUUAACUCUGCGCAGUUGGUGUAAUAGUUUCGGCUGCUAUUCUCUUUACUACUAGAGCCUAGAGAUGGAGUGAAGCAUAUUGGGAAUUAGGAAAAGAGAGUUGCUUCCUUACAAUUAGGCAGGCGCUAAGUUACGGUUAACGUAACUUACGCCCACACACAGUAACAGUACCACUGGUGGGGCCUGGUACUGUUGCUACGUAAGUUACGUUAUGCCGAGUAGUGUUGUGCCCUAGAAUCUGUUCUACAUUUGCAGUUGUGACUGUUGAGCCAACUUGAUUUGCAAUGCUUUUAGGGAUAUUGUGCCCUGAAAAUUAAUCAAAACUACUUGUUAAAAAGAUUCCGUUUCGUUUUGAAUUUUUUUGUGCCUUUUACUAUUUUAUCCCUAUAAUUAGACUUAUGAUACAUAAAAUGUCAACAAUUAAUCAAUAAGAGAAAAAAAUUAGUCAUAAGUCUGAUUUUAAUGGUAAAAUAAAAAAUAGACAAAAAAGUACAAAGUUUACGUAAUCAUUUUAAUGCCAAAGAGUUUUAAUGAGUUUUGAAACGUAAGGAGAAAAAUAAUAAAUCUACUAGAACAAUAGGAAGAUUUUGAUCAUUUUCCCACUGAUAUAAAGAAAAACGAUACACACCACACGUCUUGAUAUUGAAAUCGUUGAUGGCGACACAAAAAUCCUGAAGACGGCUAGGGUCAGAGGCAAUGGCCAAUGAACAAGCCAAAACCAAGAGAACAGAAGCUACAGGAAAUUGAACUCCUUUCAUGUUGAUUAGCCACAUGCAAUUCCUUGCUACAUGCAUGCAAAUGUUCAACAUUAUGUGUGAUUGCUCUUAUCAAGCGACAUCAACUAGUCAUCUACCAAUUGAUCUUGGGGCUCAAUAGAAUCUGUUUCACAUCAGAUUUUGCAUAACAAAAAGUAAUGAAGAGAUUAAUUAAUAUAUGUGUGUGUGUGUGUGUACGGAAAAAAUAUAUGUAUAAGGAGAGGCAUGGGAAAGGCUUAGCUGCUAAAUAAAAACAACCAUAAAUUAUGUUUAUUAAAUGGCUACAAUCAGCCUGAAGAGAGGUUCAUGAGAGAGCUUUUUUUUUAACAUUAAUUAAGAUAUGAUAAUCUGGAGCUAAAACAAUAAAGCCACUAGUGAAGAGGCCAUUUAUAUUAAAGCUCAUUAAUUCCUUCUCCUAAUCGCCAUUAAUGAACUUAUGCUGAAGAUCUUUCACUGUCUUCGGGUCCAACUGGAACGCCUUGGCAAGAAAAUCGGGAUUGAUUGGAGGAUUGGCUCCAAAGACCGCGUCGGCUAUGGUAAUUUCACCGGGGAACUGGCUGUUUAGAGCAGAAUAGGCAACUGCAUUUGUUUUUCCAAUGUUGAAUUGGAAAUGAAUCAAACCAAUUGGAAACACAAAAGCAUCUCCCUUAUUCAGAACUUUUGAGAUGAGUGUGUUAUUCAGUUGGUCUGAUGUCACAAAACCGACGUGAAGAGUUCCUUCCAGGACCAACAGGAUUUCACUGGCACGGGGGUGAAUAUGAGGUGGCCUUUGGCCAUAUGGCGCAUAGUCAAUACGGAAUGCUGAUAUGCCAAGGGUAUUGAGUCCUGGAAUUUGCUCCACAUUUGCAUCUGUUUCAUCAACACCAAGUCGAUUUGCUGUGUUUCCAGGCUUGCCAAGCCCGGAAAAGAAGAAAUCUUCUGCUCUCGCAAGCUUGGGGUCCUUGCAGAACUUCCCAUUCACAAACACUACAAGAACGCACAACACAUACGCACAAAGGGGGGGAAAAAGGAAUAAUUAAGUAGCAGCACAAAUUAUAUUGAAAAUUAUAUCUUUCGACAGUUCAGCUUACUUACCACCAUCCUUGGGGUUAUUGAUGGCUACACAGAUAUCUUGAAGAGGGCUAGGGUCAUAGGCAGAGGCCAAAGAAGAAGCCAAAGCCAAGACAGCAAAACCUAUAAGAAAUUGAAUUGCCUUCAUGGUGAUUAAUUAACAGGAACUUUAAUCAAGUGUUGUGAUUUGAGAAUAUAGCGAGGGAACCUAGCCUAUUUAUAGAACGGAGUCCAUGAACGAGUCUGUGAGUUCAAUUUCUUAGUCCUCGAAGCAGGAGAAGACUAACAGAGUCCUCAUUGGUUAUCUUUCUUAGGGCCUGUUCGGUAAUUUUUUCCUCUCAUCUUAAAAUAUAAUUUUUUCCUCUCAUCUUCUUCCUCUCUCUCUCUCUCCCUCGUCGUCAAAUCUUAUCUCUAAGUGUCUCAUCUUCUUCCUUUCUCUCCCUUACCAAGUUAUACUGCUUUUUCCUUUUUUUUUGAUCAUUUUUUCAAUUUAUUAGGAAAUUGGUGGGUGAAGCAGACACGCAGCUAAAAUGAAAUUGUAAGAAAAUAAAGAACAAGCACAAAAAAUAGACACAAAAAAUUACGUGGUUCGGCUUUUAGCCUACGUCUACGGGCGAAGACAGAAGGAAAUAUUUUACUAGUGAAAAAGAGUUACAAGUAUUGUAGUAUUUUAGCUCACUUCCCAAAACCUCAAUACACCCAAACUCUCAGAACACUAAUCACUCAAGAGUUUAUUAAACUCUUAAUACUCUCAACUCUAAAGGAAGGCAAUGCUUCUCUCUCUCGAUGGAAUUGAAUGCAAAAUGAAAUGGGGAGCUCUGCCUUUUAUAGCCAAAAAAUGGCUAUUAAAUUAUUAUUAUCUUCUUCUUUCUUUUUCUUUUUUUCUUCAUUCCAAAUUUGCUGCUGCCAAAUUCUUCUUCUUUUUCUUUGGACGACACCAAAACCUUCAACAUUUUCUUUGGCCGGCUGUCAAAGCCAACUUUGCUUAUUCAAGGCUUCUAGAUGUUGCAGCCAAUUUUGACAUUCUCUCACUUGGAGAUUAGAUUGAGAAUCAAUCAAUUUCCACACUAUCCUUUUCUGCUUCGCCAUUGUCAUGUUGCCUACGUUUCUGUUAGGCCACAAGAGGAUCUACUCCAGAUAAACUUGUUAGCAUUUAUCGGCUUGGUCAAAACAUCUGCUGGGUUCUCCUUCGUAUGGAUUUUCUGUAAAUCCACAUUUCCGUCUUCCACUACUUCUCGAACGAAGUGAUACUAAACUCCUAUGUGCUUUGUCCUGGAAUGAAAGGCUUGAUUCCUUGCAAUGUGCAAGGCACUCUGACUGUCACAAAACACAUAAAUUUUCUCUUGUUUGUGCCCGAGCUCCUCCAAUAAUCUUUAUAUUCAAAUAGCUUCCUUGCAAGCUUGUGUAGCUGCCAUGUACUCUGCUUCUGUUGUAGAUAAAGCCACAACGGUCUGCAGUUUCAAAACACAGCUUACAGCUGCUCCCGCAAGUGUAAACACAUAACCAAUAGUGGAUUUUCUUUUAUCGAGAUCUCGUACAAAAUCUGAAUCCACAUAGCCCCUGACAGUAAACUCUGAUCCUCCAUAACAUAAUGCAACAUCUGAGGUUCCUUUGAUGUAUCUCAUAAUCCUCUUUACAACUAUCCAAUGCUCUCCACCGAGAUUCACCAUGUAUCGACUGACUACUCCCACUGCUUGUGCAAUGUCUGGUCUAGUACAUAUUAUAGCGAACAUUAAACUUCUCACUGCUGAUGCAUACGGUACUCAAGACAUCUCUUUCCUCUCUGCUUCAUUACUAGGACACAUACUUGAGGAUAAUUUGAAAUUAACAGGAAGUGGGGUAGAAAUUGACUUACAAUCUUGCAUGUUGAAGCGCCGCAAGAUUUUCUUCAAGUAAUUCGUCUGUGAAAGCCAAAUCUUUCUGUUAUUUAUGUCUCGGUGAAUUUGCAUCCCUAAAAUCUUGUUUGCUGGUCCCAAGUCCUUCAUUUCAAACUCCCUAGCCAACUGUGCCUUCAAUUCUUGGACUCGAUCUUUGUUGGGGCAUGCUACCAGCAUGUCAUCCACGUACAACAACAAAAUAAUGAAAUCAUUAUCUUCAAACCUCUUGUAAUAUGCACAAUGGUCUGAACUGAGUCUGUUGUAUCCAAGGCUCAUGAUGAAGGAAUCAAAUCUCUCAUACCAACACCUCGGCGCCUGUUUGAGACCGUAUAGAGUUUGGUUCAACUUGCAAACCAAGUUCUCCUUUCCUGAUUCUGCAAAACCUUCUGGUUGGAGCAUAUAUAUUUCUUCUUCAAGUUCUCCAUGAAGAAAUGCAGUUUUCACAUCCAACUGCUCUAGAUGUAGGUCAAAUGUAGCACACAUUGCCAAGACUACUCUGAUUGUUGUGAGUCGAACCACCGGAGAAAAUAUCUCGUUGAAGUCAAUACCUUCUUUCUGAGCAUAUCCUUUCACCAUCAGUCUUGUACGAUACCGCUCCACUUAGUCAUUGCCAUCACGUUUGAUCUUAUAGACCCAUUUGUUACCAAUGGCUUUUCUUCCACAUGGUAGCGAUACAAGUUCCCAUGUCUUGUUCUUGUGUAGAGCCUUAAUUUCUUCCUGCAUUGCUGUCAUCCACAAAGCAACAUCUGAGCUGUUUAAAGUUUGCUUCAUGGAAAAUUGAAGGCUCUCCAUCCUCUGUUAGAAGACAAUAUGCAACGUUGAUCUCUGUGACAUACUCCGAGUGCCACGUUGGCGGUCGUCUCUCACGAGUUGACAGACAAACUUCUGGAGCCUCGGACUCGACUGGUUCUUGUUCCUCGUGCUCUGGUGCUGCUUCAGAAGAAUCAGAAUCUUCUGGGUUAUUUUCCACAUAUAUCGGUAUAGUCUCUGACUUUUCUUUUACAGUGCCAUCAUCCUCAUCUCUCUUUUGCAGUUGAUCUUCUACAAAAAUAACAUCUCUGCUGAUGACGAUCUUGUGGGCAGUGGGGUCCCACAGACGAUACUCUUUUACUCUAUCAGCAUAUCCCAAGAAGAUACAUCUUCUAGAUUUUGGAUCCAGCUUUGUUCUUUCUUGGGCAUUGUACAUCACGUACACAGGACAUCCAAAUGCAUGUAGGUAGGAAUAAUCAACUGGCUUUCCAAUCCACAUCUUCAUCGAUGUCUUCAGCCCAAUAGCUGUAGAUGGCGACCGAUUUACUAUAUAACAAACAGUUUUGGCUGCUUCUGCCCAGAAUGAAUUGGGUAGACCAGCAGUCCUCAACAUAGCUCUUAUUCUUUCUGUAAGAGUUCUGUUCAUCCGCUCUGCCACUCCGUUUUGUUGAGGAGUGUAUGCUACAGUGAACUGUCUCUGAAUACCUUAUUGCUUACAGAAAGUAAGAAACUCGCCGUCUGUAUAUUCUCCACCAUUAUCCGUCCUCAAGCACUUGAUCUUUUUACCAUAAUCAAGUUCCACCCGCGCUUUGUAUUCUUUAAACACUGGAAAUACAUAUGACUUUUUCUUAAUUGGAUACACCCAACAUCUUCUGGAAUAAUCAUCAAUGAAAGUCACCAUGUACUUUGCACCUCCUAUGGAUAUAUCCGGUGAUUCCCAAACAUCAGAAUGAAUUAAGUCUAGAAUGCAUUUACUUCUAGCAAUAGAUCUACUGAAUUUUAAUCGAUGCUGCUUACUUAUAACACAAUGCUCGCGAAAUAGUAAACUUACCGAUUUGAGCCCUGGAAGCAAUUUUCGCUCAGAGAGAAUCUUCAAAUCUUGUUCUGACAUGUGGCCAAGUUUGAGAUGCCACAUCAUCGUUGACUCUUCUCCAUUUGAUGCGACACACGCAUCAGCCUCCUGUAGUGUUUCUCCUUUAAGCAUGAAUAGAUUAGCACCGAUCUUUUCUGCCUUCAUCAAUACAAGCGCUCCUUUAACAAUCUUCAUAAUUUCAUUCUCCACAUAAGUUUUGCACCCAUGACUGUCUAUUUGUCCCAAAGACAAUAGAUUUUUUUUUAGGCCAUUGACAUGUCGUACCUCCCCAAUUGUGCUAAUUGUACCAUCAAAUAUUUUUAUUUUGAUAGUACCAAUACCAGCGAUCUCCAAGGCAUGAUCAUUACCCAUAUAUACAGAUCCUCCUGAGAUAGGUUCAUAUGUGUGGAACCAUUUUCUCCUAGAGGUCAUGUACCAGGUAGCUCCUGAGUCUAUAAGCCAGACAUCAGAUAGUCGUUUUCUGCCUUCUGAAACAAUUGUUGCCUCGCUGUAAAGAAUUUCGCCAUCAUCCGAGGUACUUGCUACACACCCCUGAGCAUUUGAUGACUCAGGUUCUUUGUCGUAUUUUCUCUUCUGGUUACUCCAACACUCUUUCUUGACGUGCUCUUUCUUGCCACAGUUGUAACAUUUAACAUUCUUCUUACUUCUGGAUUUUGAUCUACCGUGAUUUUGACUCCCACUGGGGCCACGUUUCUUUGAUCUCCCUCUCGUCACCGAUAGCACCUCCGCUUGUUGCGAACUUGCUUGUCUAUUUUUCUUAUUUUUCCGUCUGCUCUCCUCAUUUAUUACGGAGGCUGCAACAUCGUCGAAAACUAGAUUGGCUGCUGGAUUGUUGUUUGUCAGGUUGAUGAUGAGUUGAUCAUACAAAUCUAGUAGACUUUGAAGUAGAAGCUCUGCACGUUCAUUUUCCUCUAUAUUAUGACUCAACGUUGUAAGUUGUGAAAAUAGAGUCUUCAAGGUGUUGAUGUGGUCGGUCACCAUUGUAGAUUCCACCAUUCGAAGAGUAUAGAGUUUCCUCUUCAAGAAGAUUUUGUUGUGUAGUAACUUGGCCUCGUACUAUUUUGUGAGAGUAUCCCAAAUUUCCUUCGCUGUAUUUUUCUCUGCCACACUGGAUAAUACUCCGUCUGCAAGUGCCAAGUGUAAAUCAGAAAUGGCGUUGCCAUCUAUCUCGUUCCACUUGUCAUCAGUUAUCUCCAUGGGCCUUUCUCCAAUUGCUGCCAAGCAAUUAUUUUUCCUCAAUACAGCUUUCAUCUUCAUUUUCCACAACGAAAAAUUAUUUCUGUUAAACUUCUCAAUUUCAUACUUUGCCGCCAUUUUGUUGAUAAAUACCGCACACAAGCUAGUGUACCACCUUGAAUAGUUGUGAGUAUGUGUGAGAAUGUACACCAGGAAAGUUCCCAGGAAAGACUAGAGGGGUCACAAUGGUCCCACUUAAAACUCAGACUCCUUAAGCUCUUAUUAUCUAUGUGAUAGAAUUUUCCUAGACAUGUACAAAACCACACAGUUGCUUUACUGACAUCAUUAUUCCCUGCUUUGCACCGUAAAAUUCUUGGUCGCUCCCACCGUUUCACGUGAAUAGUACCGUAUACGUGAAUAGUAUCGUAUACGCGAACAGUACCGUAUACAUAAAUAGUACCCCUUACGUGAACAAUACCUCAACUCCAAAAAUACAACCAAUAGCUCUGAUACCACUGUUAAGAAAUUGGUGGGUGAAGCAGACACGCAGCUAAAAUGAAAUUGUAAGAAAAUAAAGAACAAGCACAAAAAAUAGACACCAGAAAUUACGUGGUUCGGCUUUUAGCCUACGUCCACGGGCGAAGACAGAAGGAAAUAUUUUACUAGUGAAAAUGAGUUACAAGUAUUGUAGUAUUUUAGCUCACUUCCCAAAACCUCAAUACACCCAAACUCUCAUAACACUAAUCACUCAAGAGUUUAUUAAACUCUUAAUACUCUCAACUCUAAAGGAAGGCAAUGCUUCUCUCUCUCGAUGGAAUUGAAUGCAAAAUGAAAUGGGGAGCUCUGCCUUUUAUAGCCAAAAAAUGGCUAUUAAAUUAUUAUUAUCUUCUUCUUUCUUUCUUUUUUUCUUCAUUCUAAAUUUGCUGCUGCCAAAUUCUUCUUCUUUUUCUUUGGACGGCACUAAAACCUUCAACAUUUUCUUUGCCCGGCUGUCAAAGCCAACUUUGCUUAGUCAAGGCUUCUAGAUGCUGCAGCUAACUAUGGCCAAUGGGUCGUGCUGUGCCGGCACGGCCCACCAACUAUCGGCCCACAAGGGCUCGUGGGCCGGCACGGCACGACCCACUAAAUUGGUGGGCCGUGCCGUGCCGUGCCUAUAUUUUUUUCAAUUGAGCCCGGCACAGCCCAUGGCACGAUCCCGCUCGUGCCAUGCUCGUGCCGUGCCGUGGGCCAUGCCCAAAAAAAGCCCACCAAUUUUUAUUUUUUUUUAGCGUGCUUAAAAAAGUCCACGUGCCUAGCGUGCUUUAUUCAAGCCCACGUGCCUGACAUGCUUUUUUAAGCCCACCAACAUAAUAAUAAUAAUAAUAUUCACAAUCAUAAUCAUAUUAAUUUUUAUUAAGAGAGCAAUUAACAUUUUAUUAUUAGUUUAUCACAAUUUCACAACUAUAUAUUUUAUUUCACAAUAAUCAAUCAUAAUUCAUAACACAACAAUACAUAAAUUUAAUUCCAUAGAUCAUAAUAAUAAUUAAUUAAAAUUAAAAAUACAAUCCUCGAAUAAUCAUUACAAUAAGUCAUAACUACGAAAUAUUAAUAUAACAAAUCAUUUAUUUAAACUAAGAUUUAAUGAUUUAAAUUAAUUUUUAAAAGUCUAUGCUAAAAAAUAUAUUAAAACAUUUAAUUUCAUAACAUUUAAUAUUUACUUUUUGUUAAAAAAAAUUACUUAGAUAUAUUUUGACCCAGGUGCUAUUAAUGGCUCACGGGCCGCGUGCUAGCCCACUAAUAAACCGUGCUUUUUCGCGUGCCGUGCUUUGGCCCAUCUCUAAUCGUGCCGUGCUUGAAGGCCCGCGUGCCUAAAAUUCUAGGCCCGGCACGGCCCACGUGCGUGCCGUGCCGUGCCUCGUGCCUCACCGAAACGUGCUCGUGCCGUGCCGUGCCGUGCCGUACGGACACGUGCCGUGCCCGUGCCGUGCCACGUGCCGCCCGACCCAUUGGCCACCUUUAGCUGCAGCCAAUUUUGACACAAUUGACAUUGUGUUUUCCUUCAAUUUACUCAACUCAUUGGAAAGAAACGAGUUGAAGAAUUUAUGACAAUGGGUGAGAAAGAAAUUCACGUCUUUGGCAACAGACUAACAGUUGAGAGUCAUGUUCUGUAGAUAUCGAUGUUUCUGGACCUGAUUGGUUUGUCGUUGGACUUAAUGGAGAGGCAAGAUUAGGCUUUUUUUUUUUUUUCUUUUCAUAGCAACUUUCGUAGCUUCUUUAACCAUUUUUAGUUCUAUUAACGCUUUACCAAGUCAAUGAUGCACGUGUUUUUUUCAUAACGUGUUAAAGUCACAAAUCAUCUGCUUCAAGAGAAAACAGACUAGGAUCAGAAAGGAACCAAAAGUCUNNNNNNNNNNNNNNNNNNNNNNNNNNNNNNNNNNNNNNNNNNNNNNNNNNNNNNNNNNNNNNNNNNNNNNNNNNNNNNNNNNNNNNNNNNNNNNNNNNNNNNNNNNNNNNNNNNNNNNNNNNNNNNNNNNNNNNNNNNNNNNNNNNNNNNNNNNNNNNNNNNNNNNNNNNNNNNNNNNNNNNNNNNNNNNNNNNNNNNNNNNNNNNNNNNNNNNNNNNNNNNNNNNNNNNNNNNNNNNNNNNNNNNNNNNNNNNNNNNNNNNNNNNNNNNNNNNNNNNNNNNNNNNNNNNNNNNNNNNNNNGAGAGAGAGAUGAAGCAAAACGACAACUUGAAUUUUAGUUUCUCUCAGCUUUCUCUCGUUCUUCUAGCCAUCUACCAGCACUCAAAGAGAAUAAUUCUUUGCAUAAUUAAAGCGUCAAAAAGAAUUAUUCUCUUUGAGUGUUGCUAUAUGACUAGAAGAACGAGAGAAAGCUGAGAGAAACUAAAAUUCAAGUUGUCGUUUUGCUUCAUCUCUCUCUCUUCUGUCAGCUUUUUCUCUCUCUCUCUUCUCUCAGCACAUGCUUCAUUCUCUCAACUUUCUCUCAUUCUUCUUGAUACUUAGCAUUUUCCUUAUGUAAUUGAUCCCCUGUCAUUGGGAUUGUACCAUUAUAUAUUAUUUGGUGUUUGUUUUUUAUUUAAAAUCUGAAUAAGUUUAAAGUAGUAUGAAUUUUAAAUAAAUUUAAAUGCAUGAAUUUGAAUAACGUAUUUAUUUAUUUUUUGUCACAAACUUUGAGAAUAAAUAUUAAGUUAUUUUUAACUUAAAAAAUCUAAAAAUCAAAACCUUUACAUUUGUGUCCUUACAAUUUUAAAUGUUAAAUAUAUAAUGAACAUCUCAAAAAAUAUAAGUAAGAUAGUAUUUUAUCAUAACAUAAAUGGUGCUCAAUGAAUGCAACCUAUUAAUAUUCUAAAUUAGAAUUAUAUUAAUAAAUUUUGUGAAGAUAAAUAAUUCUAGUUUGAAGAAAAUAAAAAGAUAAAAAUAAUGAUAAUUUACUACUAUAUUAGUAAGCUUUAUUUAGGUAAGGAGGAAAAUAAAUUAAUUAGAUAAAGGUAUUGCAGAGAAUAUUUUUCAAUGAUGUGAUUCAAAAUUUUCAGAUUAAGUAAAAAACUAAACAAAAUAAUUAGCUUAAAAACUUAAUGACUUAUCAAUCACUAAAUUUUUUUAUUAAAUUGAAAAAAUUAAUAGAAUUAUGGUCCAUUUAGGAUUUAUUUCGGGAGGUGCUUUUGAAAAGUUUAAAAGCUAAUUUUGAUGUUUGACAAUUUUUUUAAAAAAAUCACUUUUAGCAAAAUCACCCUAUCAUACAACAAAUUUUUAAAAGUAGAGGAAGAGUAGUUUUUUAAAAUCUGAUUUCGAGAAUCACUUUUAUACUUAAUACAAUUUCAUAUAUAUUUUGAUAUAUAGGAAAAAAUCCAAAACCAUCCUUAUAAAUUAGAAAAUAAAAUUAUUAAUUUUAAAGAGAUUAUUAUUAUUACCAAUUCUAUUGAGAUAACAAAAUAAAAAAUAAAAUUAAUAAUAUAAAAUAUAUAUUUUAGUUAUCAAUUAUUAUUUAUACACAACUAAAAAUAUUUUAUUUACAUGUUUAUAAAUGUGUAAAUAAUUUUUAUUCAACAAUAUGUUUAAUUUAAUUAUUUACAUUGUUAAAAUAUUUUAACAGUAAGAUCUACUAAACAUUUAAUUGAUUCUCUACACAGCUGAUUAUUUCUACAGUAUAGCUAACAAUAAUUAUUUUAAAAUUUAUAACAUUAUCAAACUGACCCUUAGUGAUUUAAUUGACUAAAAUUAAGUCAAUUAAAUCAUUAAGUUAGGAAAACAAACUGCCCUUUAGUAAAUUUCUUAAUGCAAAUAUUAUUAAACUAUAAUGCAAUUAAAAAUAAUAAUCUCUUCCUCUAUUCACUUUUUUAAUUACAAUUAGUUUCAGUAGCUAUUUUGAAUGACAAACUGAAUUGAUCGCGAUAUAAUAAUCUCUUCUUUCAAUCAUAUGAGCAUGUUUGAGCCACUGAGGUAGCUGUGGGAAUUUGUUUUCGUUGAUUUCUGCACUGGGCUUUUUAGGAUUAUUUGUAAAGGCAUUAAUUAAGUAUUUUUAAUGGGUUUAUAUGUAAAUUAGAUUGUAUGUAAUAUUAAAGGUUUGUCAACCAAACUGGCAACCAUUAAUUAAGUUAAAAUCCAUUCGUGUCAGUAUUUAAGAUACGUGUCACAUUCUGGCAACAAUCUUAAUAUGUGUUUCCAUUCGAACUUUCCACUGGCUGCUUGACCCAUCUAAGUUAUGAAAAAGUUUCUGAGAAAAUGAAAAAAUAAUCCAUGGCCGUGGAAAUAAUCGAACGCCGCCAGCUGUAUUGUAUGAUUCUAUGAGCGAUUUAUCAUUUCUUUUUUCUUUUUAUUUCGACAAUUUAUUACUGACUACUGUAUUGCAGGCUUGUAGCCAUUAAGUGUUUGGAUAAUUUAUCCCAUUAUUUUCAAAUAUAAUCCAGAUAUAAUUCUAGAUUAUGCUGGUAGAAACAUCGUCUCAAAGAUUCUAUUGGGUCAUCAAUAGCUGUAUAUAUCUUGAAGGGGACUAAUUUUUCUAGGAUAUGCUGGUGGAAAAUUUUGCCCCACGUAACUACUAUGAAUGAGUCUCUGUUGCUUAAUUAAGACUCUAAUCUCUCUUUCUAGACUGCAAGGUAAGUUUAAGCUAGAAACAUUAUAUCAAGGUGUACACAUUUUCAUCAAAUAUAAUUGUAGACUUUCUGGUCACACAUUUUACCAUUUAGUCCAUAAUUUUUCAAAAUACCUAUUACGUUUCUAAUAUUAUACUUUUAUGUUUGAAUUAGUCUGUUGAGCUAUACAUGUGACUUUUUAACAUAGAAUACCCUACAUACCUUUUAGUAGGGGAUUUAAAAAAAAGAGCGCAUUAUAUUAAACUAAGGUAGCAUUUGUUUUUUUUUUUUUUUGUCUGAAAUCUAAAUGAAUCUGAAUUUUUCUAAAGUCUGAAUGGGUCUGAUUACGAAAAUUUAAAUAAUAUGUUUAUUUUUCUUUUUUAAAUAUCUGAAUAUAAGUGGCAUUUUGUUUGUUUUUAAAAUAAAAACAUCUUAAACUUAGUUAUUUGACAUUUAUGUCCUUGUAAAUUCAAAAAAAAAAAGAGAAUUAGAUUUUAUAGUUUAGGAAAUAAGUUAUUUUACAGAGAUAUUUUUAGAAUAUAAUAUUUACUUGUCUUUCAGACCUUUUUUCAUACAGAUAAAAGUCACAAAGUUUAUUUUUUCUAUUCAUAUGUAAAUGUCUGAAAAUCAGACAUAAGUUCCAAAAAAACAAACAAGUAUAUUUUAGAAAAGAUCUGAAAUUAAUAAAAUUUCAAACUUCAGACAUUUAACAAACAAUCUCUAAGUGUAUGUUUAAUAUGAUUUAUCUAAUGGUCAUAAGUGCUUAUCUAAUCCCAUAAAUUCCUUUUAAAAUUAUUAUUAUUGUUUGAUUGCAUUUUAAGUAAAGUUUUUAAGGAUUAAAUAAAUUUUUUUGUCUCUACUAACAAAAGCUUAAAUUUUAAAAUUUUGAGAGUAUAGAUUAGAGAGACCUUUUAAAAAGUUAAAUCGUCCAAAAUGUUCCAUUAUUUAUUUCACAAUAUUAUGACAUUUCUCUCUCUCUCUCUCUCUCUCUCUCUCUCUCUCUCUAUAUAUAUAUAUAUAUAUAUAUAUAUAUAUAUAUAUCUUAAUUUUAAAAAUUGAUCUAUUAAAAUAAUUUUAUAUAAUUUUUAACAAAGAUCUCAUCGACAACCAAACAACUAAAAUUUCUUUAAUAAAAGCUUCACUUAUAAAAAUUUUACUAACAAAAAUUUUAUUUGAAUAAAUUUUAUCAGAAAAAUUAUACCAAACGAAGCUAACAAUAAGAUUAUAAUAGUAAAAGAAUUCAAUAAUUGCACUCUUAAUGUUACCAUUUAAAAAUUAUUAAGUUAAGAAUGAAAUAGGUAAUUUGGGAAACCCAUCUGGAGGAAUUUGCUUAACAUCCUUUAAAAUUUUUUCCCAGCUGGAAGUAAUUGCUGAACAUCCUUUUCAAUUCCCGAGUAUUAUCUAAUCAGCUUAUUUUGUCAUUUUUAGGUGUUUGCAAAGGCUUUUGGCAAGGAUACUGGGUUGGCUUACGUGUAGUGGACUGAUCAUGUUGACUUUGUUCGGUAGCACAUUUUAUUUUACGCGUGUCUAGUUGUAACCAUGUCUCUCACUGUAUACACCAGUGUGAGUGGGUCCACCUACUAUUUUAUGACAAUUUAUGUUAUACUGACAAUAUUAUUCGUGCUGAUCACAAGUUUGAAGUUUUGCUUCUCUCGAAGAACUGGCUCCUUUCAUUUAUUUAUUUAUUAAAAUUUACAUUUUUUUUCCGUUUCCUUGCAAGAAAGGUAAUUAGAUUAAAUUUAACGGGGCGAUGAUGUUUUCCAUUAAAUAAGUAAAACACAAUUUUAUGCCAGAGUAGAAAUGGCCAAUCAAAACAAGGGUUAUCCAUGUUCGUGCCAUGCCGUCGUGUGCUUAAUUUUUUUUUCUCGUACCUUGCCCAUAUGUGUUGUGUUGUGUCUAAAAAAAAGUUCAAUAAUUUUUUUUAGUUUUUUAAAAGCGCGUACUAAGUAAUUGGUAUAUUUUUUUUAAGUUUAUAUUUUUUUUAGGUCUAUACCUUUAUUCAAAUUUAAUAGAAUUGAAAAUUUAAAACUCAAGUCUAUAUUUUAUAAUAAUAAACUAAUAAUAGUAAGAUAAUGUAAUGUUAAUUUUUAAGUUUGACAUUUUAACAUUAUUUUUUUUUAUACUUAACAACAACAACAAUAAUAAAUUUUUCUUAAGGGUUAACUUAAUUGUUAACUUAGGUGGCGUUUGUUUUUUUGUCUGAAAUCUGAAUAGACCUGAAUUAGUCUGAAUUCUGAAUAGAUCUGAAUAUCUGAAUCUGAAUAAUAUGUUUGUUUUUUCGUCUGAAUCUUGAAAAAUAAGUAUUAAGUUGUUUGUUUUUUUAACUUAAAAAGCUGAAAAUAUAUACUUUUACAUUUGUAUCCUUAUUAAAUUUGAAUGUCAAAUAAAUAAUAUAUUAAAUACCAUAAUAUUUUUACAUUUAUAAAUAAAACUAUAUUCAAGUGAAUACAUAAUUAUUUUGGAAUUUUAAUAUAUAAAAUACCAUAAAUUUCAAAUUUUAUCGUAUAUAAUAUAAGAAAGAAAAAACAUGGAUAUUUUUAUGUGGGGUAAAUGUCUAUGGGUGAGUUUUGGGAUAGACAUGAAAAAUAAAUUAUAAAGCAGGGAUAUUUUUGACAUUAGCAAGUAAUUGACUUAAUUAAGAUUUCUCCAUUAAGUAAAAAGCCAAAAAAAUUGGCUUAUUUUAUUAAGUCAAAAUUAUCAAAAAAGUCUCAUUAAGUUAUAAAAACAAACAUCUCUAAUUAACUUAAUUAAUUAAGUUAAGUCACUUUAAGUCAUUAAGUUAAAAAACAAACGCCACCUUAGACUUACAUAGAGUCAUAGAUCAUAAUUCACAAUAAUAUUAAUGGAUAUUUAUAAAAUCAUAAUAAUUAUAAUUUUAUUUAUUAAAAUCAUGAUAUCAAUUAUAUAUUUAAUAAAUUAUAAAUAUAAAUCAAUUAUAGUACUUUUUAAACUAAGAAUUAAAUGAAUUUAAAAAAUUCAUUUUCAAGUUAUUUGUAAAACUAUAAAAUUUUAAGUUUACUUUCAUUAAAAAAUAAAAUGUGCUUAUUGUGAACUUUUUUAUCGUGCUAUACUUAGUCCAUUUCUAAUCAUGUAGUGCUUUUAAUGCUCGCGUGCUUAAAAUUUUAAGUCUGGCCCAGUCCACGUGCGUACUGUGCCAUACCACAUACCCUACCAAAACGUGUUGGUAUUGUGCCGUACUGUACGAAUACAUGUUGUGCCAUGUGUCAUCUAGUCCAUUGGCCAUCUCUACGCCAGAGUGACAAUAUGCCACAUUGAGAAGAAUUGUGUGCCCCUAAAGCUGGAUUAAUAAUUUAAUUUGAAUUGACAUCUAUAACAGUUGUAGGCUAACCAAUAUUUCCACAGAAAAAAGUAGUUCAAAAUUAUUGGUCGCAUCUUGUCAUAAAUUUUUUAACUCUGCGCAGUUGGUGUAAUAGUUUCGGCUGCUAUUCUCUUUACUACUAGAGCCUAGAGAUGGAGUGAAGCAUAUUGGGAAUUAGGAAAAGAGCGUUGCUUCCUUACAAUUAGGCAGGCGCUAAGUUACGGUUAACGUAACUUACGCCCACACACAGCAACAGUACCACUGGUGGGGCCUGGUACUGUUGCUACGUAAGUUACGUUAUGCCGAGUAGUGUUGUGCCCUAGAAUCUGUUCUACAUUUGCAGUUGUGACUGUUGAGCCAACUUGAUUUGCAAUGCUUUUAGGGAUAUUGUGCCCUGAAAAUUAAUCAAAACUACUUGUGAAAAGGCGAUUUGAACUCAAAAUUUUGCUUUCUACACCCAUUUUCUCAACACACCCACAACAUAAAUUUGAAAAAUAAAAUUAUACUCUAUGAAUCCUUCAAAAAUCCAAAAAUAACCCUAUAUUAUCUUCGUUCACUUUUUUCUUCCCUCUCCCUUCUUAUACAGUAUUGAAUGGUGACAACAACUUUGAUUCACCUUGCUAAUAUUAAAAACUAUCCUAAUUGACAAAUCCAUGAAGAAAUAAACUUUGAUGAUGUGCACCAAUAAAUUGAAAAUUUUGAGCCAACAACAAACUACUGAAUAUAUUACGGAUGGGUUUACAUUGAAAUUGUCCAUUUCUUUUUCAUCCAUUGCCUUUCACGAAAAUCUUUAUAAUUUCAUAUUAUAACUGCAAGAUGCAAAAAAUUCUUCAUGUUUUUUCAUCUAUCGCCAUAAUUGCCAUAGAGUUCAUUAGCUUAAUUAACUAUUAGUUAUACAUAUCAAGGAGUCUAUUUUUCCUUUAAGUCUUGAAUCAUCAAAUUCAAAUAUUUCUAUUGUUCGAUUUUUCUAUCUGAUUGUGUAUUUUCAUGAGAUGCAGAAAAUUAUUUUUAGCUUAUGCAGAAUUUUCAUUUUCUCAGUAACUAAGUUUUUUUUUUUUUUUGGUCUGUCCUUAAUGGUAAUUGUCAUAAAGGGUAAUUUGACAAUACAAGUUAUUGUGAAAUUAUAGGUGUAAAGAGUUGUUUUGUGGGUUUAAAUAGUCCCACCCUUUGCGGAAUUAUUUAUUAAACAUCUAAAUUAAUAGUAUGUAUGAAAUAAAUGGCAUCCCACACAAAUAUAAAUAAUAAUUUUACUUGAAUUAAAUACCCAAAUCCUAUAUUAUAAUAUUAUGCGUAAGAAAAUUUACACAUACUAUCAUUUUAUUAAAAUUUGGACUAGCUGAAGAAUAUUAUUCAUUCAGAUUUAUCAACCAUAAGUCACUUUGUUAAACCAUGAUUAUUGUAGAAUGAAAAAUCAUUCUUGUCAAGUAUAAAUGGACGAACUGUUUAUUGUCAACCUUUAUAUAGUUGUAUAAAUAAUUAAUCUUUGUAUAACUUAAAAUUAUUGUUUAUGCUAUCAGUCGUAAUGAAUUGGAAGUAGAUGAUUUUAAUUUGCAAAUGGUUUGGCUUCCAUCUCUGUAACUAUUUUAGUAUUUUUUUUUUUUAAAAAGCUCAUUAAACAAAUAAAGUUGACUAAAGUAUUCUCUAAAUGCCGACGGCUUUAGUUAACAAGGCUCAAAAACUUUUAAGAAGAAUUGGGCCUGAAAUGAUAAUGCAUGGUGGAUAGAUUCUAAUGCAACCAAGCAUGUGUGCAAAGAUCAUAGCCUUUUCACAUCUUACAAAGUAAUGGAUGAUAGGAAUGUUCUUUAUGUGGGAAAUUCCUUCAUGCAGCAAUUAAAAGAAAAGGCAACGUACAACUAGAGUAUAUUUAUGGAAAAAUCUUAACUCUUAUUGAUGUUUAUCAUAUACCUAAAGUUAAGAAGAAUCUUGCAUUUGGUUGCCUCAAUAAAUUUGGCUUCAAACCUGUAUUUGAGUAAAAAAUAAUUUAUAUUGUCUAAGGAUGCAUGUAUGAGGGAAAGUUUAAACUCAUUAAUAAAAUGAAUGUUUCUUCUACUUACAUGAUUGACUCAUUAUUUUUGUGGCAUAAUUAUUUAGGACAGGUGAAUAUUAGAAGAUUGCAUGAUAUAGCUAAUUUAGAAUUAAUUCCUAAAUAUGAAAAUGAUAUGCAUGAAAAAUGUAAAGUGUGUGCGUAGACUAAAAUCACAAGAACUCCUUUUCCAACAAUUGAAAAAAUAUAUUCUUUGAUGCAUUUAAUUCAUAGUGAUAUAUGUGAUAUGUAUAGUAAUCCUACUAAAGGUGGUAAAAAAUAUUUUGUAAUGUUUAUUGAUGAUUUUUCAAAAAUAUUGCUAUGUAUAUUUAUUACCUUCUAAAGAUCAAGUGUUAGCCAAAUCCAAAAUUUAUAAAAAUCAAGUUGAGAAUUUUUAUGACAUUAAAAUUAAAUGCAUCAGAAGUGAUAAAGGAGAUGAAUAUGCAUUUUUUGAAUUUUGUGAAUCUACUGGCAUUGUGCAUGAAACUAGUAUUGGAUAUACACGACAACAAAAUGGCAUAUCUAAAAGGAAGAAUAGGACGCUAAUAGAAAUGGUUAAUGUUACGAUUUUUAAUGUUGGGCUUGGUAAAGAUUUUUGCGAUGAAGCUCUUUUAACUAAAUGUCAUAUCUUGAAUGGUGUGCCUAAUAAGAAAACAAAAGCGAUCCCUUAUGAAUUAUGAAAAAAUAGAAAGCCUAAUCUUUCACUACUACAAAAUUAGUCAAUAAUGACGGUUCUAAGCGACAUAAAAUGACGGUUUUAAAACCGUCAUCUUAGGCAGCAACAUUAAAAGGAGUAUACUUUUUAUGACAGUUCAAUAACCGUCAUUAAAUGUAUAUUUUUAAUGACAGUUAUUUUCUAAAUAGUCAUUAUUUAUAGUAACUAUGUAUGUUUUCAUGAUGGUUAUUUCGUAUAACCGUCAUUAAAUAUAUACAUUUAAUGACGGUUAUAUGAAAUAACCAUUAUUAAAUAUACUUUUUCAUUAAUUUUUUAUGAUGGUUCUUUUUAAAAAAAAACCAUCAUUAAAUCCAUCAUUUUAAUGACAGUUUAUUGUAAAAACGUCAUUAAAUAUUAAAAUAACAUUUAAUUACGAUUUUAAAAAAGAACUGUCAUCUUUGUUGUUGAAGACUACAUUUAACGACGGUUCUUUUCAAAUAACCGUUAUCAUUGUUGUUAAUUAUUAAAAAAAAUAAAUAUGACAAUUUCAUAACCAUUUGAAGCCCCUAUUUUAAUUCUAAUUUCCUGUCAAAUUAUUUACAAUUUUUUUCCACAAAUGUUUCAUAUACAAAAAGAGAGCUCUACAAAAAUCUCUAAUAGUCAUUGAACUUCAACAAAAUAUCAAUUAGCUUUAACAUCAAAAUUCUCACAGCUCUUUAAUACCUACUAAUGAAUCUACUCACAACCAACAAAAUUGGCAUGUGUGAGUACAUCUAAUUUCUCAUCAAGUUUUCAAUUGCAAACGAAUCUCACCACCUUUAGCAAUCUACAUCAUUCUUACAAAGAAUAAAUAAAAAUUAAGAUAAAUUCAUAGAUUAUAAGUCAUAAUAAUUAAAUCAUUUUUAGUAACUUAAGUUGUAAACAAAACUUUAAAGUACCAAAUCAUUAUUAAUUAAUAGACUUACAUUAAAUUUAUCAACCAUGUGUUUAAGUAGUAACAAGUUGCUAUGUAUACAUGUAGGCCACUCCCAUUUAACUUUAUCAAUCUCUCCUUGAGUGUAAAUUUCAGUUCUGUAAAAAUAAAAAUUAAGAAGCAUAUUACUCUAGUUCCAAACUACAAAAAUAAGUAUUUGAUAAUAAACGACAAUACAUUUUUCAAAAUAGAGAAAAUCACAAAGCUUUUAAGCUUCUAAAUCACAAAUUAUAGGUAAAGCAAUUUAGAAUUGAAAUAUACUAUAGCAAUGAUGACUUACAUCCGCUAUUUGCAUAGACUAUCACUCAAAUCUAGCGAUUCGAUAUUCUCAAUUGAUGAAAAUAUGCAACAUGUCUAAAAUAAAUCUUGCAUGCUAACACAAUAAUAAAUUUUGAAAAAAGAAUUUGUACCUUUGCCCCUGGUCAAUUUGAAAAUGAUCUCAAAAAUUUUGAUGGCCAUGAGAAAAUUAACUAACGACCAACAAUUUAUUAUUGAUGUUGUCGGAGGAUUACCAAAUUGAGAAGGAAGUGCUAAAUUCUUGAAUAGCGUUGAGAACUUAAAAAAUCUGAAAUGGAACAUUUAAAAUAGAAAGUAAAUAUAAUUAUCAAUACUCAAAGAUAGUCCACACUUUAUUGCUUAAAAACUUGAGUGGAAAACCCAGCAAAAAAGAAAAGCAAAACAGUGUAAUUUCACUGGUAUUUUUGCUGCUGUCAUGCAGAAAAAACAUAGUAGUCUUACUGCAAAGUUUUUGCAGCUGUUUUGACUGUAUAACAGCGGGCAAAAACAGCAAAAGAAACUACAAUUUGGCUGCUGUUUUUACUGUUGUCAUGCAGUAAAAUAGAGCAGUCUUGCUGCAAAGAUUUUGCAGCUGUUUGGACUGUACAACAACAGCAAAAACAGCAAAAAAAACUAUAUUUUGGCUGCUGUUUUUACCGCUGUCAUGCGGUAAAGCAGAGCUGCUGUUUUUACCGCUGUCAUGCGGUAAAGCAGAGCUGCUGUUUUGACUGUAUAACAGCAGGAAAAACAGAAAAAAAAACUGUAAUUUGGCUGCAGCAAAAACAACAGAAAAACUAUAAUUUGGCUGCUGUUUUUACAUUUAUCAUGCAGUGAAAAUACAGCAGUCUCACUGCAAAAAUUUUGCUGCUGUUCUUACUGUAUAAAAAUAGUAAUACAUCACCUUAAAUAAGAGAAAAAAAUUCUUUCAGCUACUACACAUUUAAUUUAAUUCAACUUAAAUCCUUCAUAUUGUAGAGAGUGAGAGAUUGAUUCUAUAGAAUAAAGAGAAAUUAAGAUAAUUCAUAUAUUAUAAGCCAGUAUCUUCACCAUGACUGGCAACUUCCACAAGCAAUUCAUUUGCUCUUUUCCAUGAGGACUCAUCAGAACUGAAUAAGCAAACAACACCAUUAUAAAAGAAUGAAUAUAUGUCUGAUUUGAAAUGAGCAAAACCUAGGUUAUGAGCAGCACAGAAAUGCAAAAAGAAAAAGGGAAUGUCUUUCUCUGUAAAUACAUGUAGAUAGAUGUUUGCAGAUGCAUGCAAGGGAAAAAAGAAUGUCUUUCUACAUUCUCAAGGCUCCAAUUGAAGCACUAACAGGUACAUUUAUGCAAAAAUAUAAGAAGAAAAAUAAUGUAUGAUACCUGUAGUCCCUGAGGAGUAAGCAAAUGUAUUUCGAUACGUGUACAUUUCCUGAAAGAAGAUUGAACUAUAAAUAGACUGCCAAUGGAUCAAAAUGCACUUUCAACACAAAAUCCAAUUAAAUUUGAAGAUGGCACAAAACAAUUAGUUGAAAAUUGUACUCGUGACACCGGAAUGAAUCGCAUAACAAUUCUUUCACAGAGCUUUCGGCAACCAUAUAGCUCAAAAAUCAGAUAGCAGCAUACACUAAAUGGGAACAAUUUUUUUCUCAAUUACAUUAGUAUAAGUCCAAUGCAGGGAAAAAAAUGCACUUUCAAAAUGAAUUACAACUUAAUAACAACAACAAUCAACUAAAAUGUAAGCAAGAAUCAUAGACAAACAAUUUAUAAACCAAAUGAGAUGAAAAUUUCUUUAUUAAAUUAAUAGAAGGUCAGUUGACAGGAAAUAAAGAGAACAAACAAUAAUUGGAUGAAUCAAAACCCUAGAGCAAGAAAAUACAAUAAGAAGGAAGCAUCUGAAACAAGAAAAUGAAAUCACCAGCUCACUGUCUCCCGCGGCGGGCGCGAUGGCUACGGUUGAACGAGCUACAAUGACAACUGCUGUCGAUGAGGUGGCUGAAUCACGAUCAUUGCCGCGAACUAACUAGGACUCUGAAUCACGACCACGAUCUGCCCUACGAGCUAAUCAAAAAAAUUGAAUCGAUUGGCAGCGGUGGAUGGUGCGUGACUGAUGGGCUGACGAUAGUGAAAUUGACAGAGUGAGACGAUGAGACUGGAGAGGGAGAUGGUGAGACCGUGAGAGAGAGAGAGAGAGAGACCAACGAUGCAGAGAGUGAAAGUGAGCAUGAAAGAGAGAGAGACCGGAGAUGGAGAGAAUGAGAGUGAGCGUAAGAGACAGAGAGACCGAAGAUGGAGAGGAGAGUGAGCGGGUGAGAGAGAGGGGGGCGUGGCUGCUGCUGUGCUUGUAGAAUUAGAAAUUAGGUCAUGAUUUUUUUUUUAGCCGAUUAAGAUUUUUUUUAUAAAUAUUUUACAUAUAAUGACGGUUACAUCCAAAACCGUCAUUGUUAUUUUUUAUUUAAAUGACGGUUCUUUACAACCGUCAUUAAUAGUUUAAUACCUUAAUAAGACAUAUAAUGACAUAUUUUUAUAUAUAAUCGUAGUUAAAAAUAAGGUUAUAUUUUAUUUUGAUAUUUAAUGACAGUUAUAAAAUAGAACUGUUAUUAUAAAUAUUAAAUUUUUAAUGACAGUUUUUACACAAAAUCGUCAUUAAAAGUAACUAAAAGUAAAACUAUAUUUUAACUUGACACUUAAUGAUUGUUAUAUAAUAAAACCGUCGUUGUAAAUAUUACACAUUAAUGAAUAUUUUUAUAUAAAACCGUCAUUAAAAGUAAAGUUAUAUUUUACCUAGACAUUUAAUAAUUGUUAUAUAAUAAAAUGGUCAUAGUAAAUAUUAGAUAUUAUGACGGUUCAUACAAUAACGGUUAUCAAAUACUUUUAAUAACGGUUGUUAAGAAAAACCGUCAUAAUAUAUGGGUCAUUGUUUUACAUUUUUUAGUCGUGUUUUUACCCAAGGGUUUGGGGUUAAUUCACUACAAAAAAACAAGUAAUAGAUGACAAAUAUUUUGUGACAUAUUCGUAAAAAAUUGAUUUAUAUCAUAAAAAUAUGAUAAACUCAUGAUAUAAUUUCAGUUCUGAAUUAAUAAUGAUUUUGUGAUAAAAUUAUUAUCUAUCAAGAAUUCAUUUAUACAAAUUUAUUCCAUUAAGAAAUUAUGGUAAAAUAUGAUUGUGACCAUCUUUGACCAAAUAUUAAUAUAUUAUUUUAUUUAAAAACCAAAAUAAUGGCGUUUUAAAAUUUACUCAAACGGCGCAUUUUUAAAAAUAAAAAUAAAAAUCAAAGCGUAUAAAAAUUAAAAAACAAAAACAAAAUGAACACUUUCCAAACAUGGCUCCCCCUUAGAAAAUUUUUCAAUUUGCCCCUCUUUUCUCUAUAUAGCAAAAAACUUUCCCUCCUCUGAUUUCCUUCAAUCCUUAAGCCACAAUGACAAAAAAAUACCAAUUAGAUCAAUUCUCUUCGUGUUCAAUAUCCUACAAAACCCAAUUACUUCACUCUAUUCGUUUUUAGUUUCUCUAAUUAACCCUAUAUUACUGCUAUUAAUUGAAACCCUUAAUCGCCAUUUCCAUUCACUGAUUGCUUUAGUUUGUUGCAGAAAGUUCAGUACUCUCUUUCACUCGCUUGUAUUCGUUGUAUGUUUUAUUUGAGAUUGUGUAAAUUUUUGGUUUGGGGUUUUUAUCUAUGAUUUGGUUUGAUAUUUUAGUUUAUAUAUAUAUAUAUAUAUAUAUAUAUAUAUAUAUAUAUAUAGAUAAGAGCUGAGAGGACUUAUCUAAACAGUCACCAUGAUUCAAUUUGUUUGAUUAACCCUAAAUCGUUGCCCAUCAUUGAAACCCUUAAAUCACCAUUUUAGUUCAUCUUUUAACUUGAGUUCGUAGUUGUAAGUUCAGUCGUCCCUCUCUCUCUUAGUCACUUUUUUUCAUGUGUUAUAUAUAUGAGUUGGUUUAUCUUAUUUAGUUCUUUUUCUAUGGGUGUGGUAUUUUUCUAUGCUUAUUUUGUUUGGUACAAGUGUUUGCCUAGCAUACAUCCUCUUUCCUACAAAUAGUGUUUAUUUUGAAUAAGCUCAAUUUCUGGAAUGAAACAUUUGACAUUUGACAUCUUGUAUGCGAUAGUAACAUAUAUUAUUUUGGGACACGUUAGGAAGUAAAUAUAGUAAUGCCCUUUUGUUUUCUUCAUUUGAUUUGCUGGAUAUAAUGAUGACAUUGGAUUUUUUGUAGUAGCAUUCUGUUGACAAUAAAUUUGAUGUCAACUACCCAUGACAUCUAUUGCUAUGCUUAUCAAUAAACCUAUUAAGUAUACUUGGCAGUCGAUGGAACUAAUAUGUUAUUAAUUUACUUGUUCUAUCUUUCUAUAAAUGACCACAAGAUUGUUUGUAAAAUAGAAAAAAAAAAUCGAGUGUGAUUGUUUGUAUUUGUAUCUGAGUGAGUUAAAAGAAAAAGAAAAUGGAAGUGGAUUAUGAAUGGGAGGAACGUGUGAAAGUGUUUGUGAAAUCAUUAGAUGUAAGCGAUAAGGUAUCACUUUAAGCUUUAUUAAUAAUUAGCUUUUAGACAAUUAUAUAUUGAAGAAAGAAAAACUCAUAUGAUGUUUAACAUAUAUUUGUUGGUGAUCGUUGCAGCAUAUUGCUUGGGAAAAAACAAUUGUUGAUUUGAUCGCCGACGAUUUCCGAGGCCAGCUAAGUUCAUUGCUCUGUUUAAUUUUCUUUUCUUUUUUUAAAAAUAUUUUACCUAUUUUUCUUUCUUGAAAGCUUAAUUAAUUUUCGUAAGUUCAUUCUUAGGAUUUUCUCUUCUUCUUCAUUUUUUAAAAAUAUUUUACAUGUUUUGCUUUCUUAAAAGCUUAAUUAUAGAUCACUGUUGAGAGUUUGAUCUCCCUUGGACACACUAAAUCGAUCAUUAUGCCUUUGACAUACGAUGAGAAGAUCGCACCUAUAUUCAGUUAUCUAUAAAAGUCUUGUUAGUACAUUGAAUUAGCAUGUCAUUUGAAUUAUUAUUUCUAAUUGACAAAUUUCUGGUUGGAAUGGUUAACUGUUUUCUAAUUGUCAGGUUCAAUGUUAACAUAUUUAGGCUGUUGAUUAAUGAUUAAUAAUAUAUGUAGCCUAUUGAGUAAUGAUAAUCUCACAUACUUUGUGCCUUUUAUUCUCUUUUGCUAUUAUUAUUUCAAAUUUCAAGUUCCAGUCCCUAUUUCAUGCUUGAUGAAAUAUAUUUAUCUAAGAGCAUGAAAACUUCUUCACUUGGAAUUUUUUAUAGUUGGCCACUAACAUUUUACAAUCCAUCGCUUAUGGACUGAUAGCAAAACAUUUUACAAUUCUCUGAUGUUUCUCUUACUCUAAUAGUUGUUACUUUUAUUUUCCUUAAUUACAUUCUUAAAUCUAAUAAAUCUAAUCAAGUAAUUGAAGUCAAAUAAAUGAAGACAACUUACUGCUUAUGUAAGUUUAUUGGAAUCGAGUACAUAUUGCUCUCAGUAUGUGCAUCUACGAUUUUUCUUCCAUACUGUGUCCACGUUUUUAUUUCAAAUUAUAAUGUAUCUUUUUUUUAAAAUAAAUGUCACAUUAAUUGGGGUUUUAUUGCUUGAGGCACUUUUUUCUAGUAGCAUAUUAUUGGGUUUAGAUAAUUUGCUUUAUUGUAUUUCUAGGUUUCUUAUUUAGUUUAGGACUAGAAAUUAAGUUGCAUAUGAUAAUUUUGGUGUUGGAAUUCAACUACAGUUUUGCAGGAAAAUUAAUUGUUGGAUGGUUUUGCGUAGACUCAAGUGCCGUUGCAAUUGGAGUGCAUAUUUGUUGAAAAUUUGGCUGUGAGAUUGAUAGAAAGUGAUUCUACUUGCUGUUAGGCUGGAAUUUGAACGUACAAUGCUUAGACUUUGGAUUGUUUAUUGUAUUGUGAAUGGAUAUAUAAUUUGUUUAAUUGAUAUAUUUUAAAGCUAUAGUGAUACUAGUGGUUUGUACCUUUUAAUUUGUUAGAUAUUUGGUUGUACUUUGAAUUUUAUUAAUAGUACAUCUUAUAUUAAUUUCAUAUUUAAAAUUUUAAUUUCUGAAAAUAAAUUUGUAGAAUUUGGGAAUUUAUAAAAUAAAAAAUACAAUUUAAAUAAUAAUAAUAAUAAAAUUAGUAUUAAUUCAAUUCAAAAUAAUAAUAAUAAUAAAAUAUAAAAUAAUUACAAUAAUUUUAAUUGAAAUUAUAUCAAUUUUCUUGCCAAAAAAAUUUUAAAAAAAGUUAAAAAUUUGAAUAAUUUUGAAUUUCCUGGUAAAAUAUAAUGUGACAUACAUGAAUCACUAUCAUAAAUUCAUGAUGGAAAACAUUCUAUCAUAAAUUAAUGACAGUGACAUAGAUGACGGAUGAAUUGUCUGUUAUGUGCCCUCUUUUAUGAUAGUUAUUUUUCGUCAUUUAAUGCAUGUUUUCUUAUAGUUUAUUGAGUCAUUUGUAAGACUACCUGAACAUAAGAUAAAGAAAUUAGGAAAAAGGGACAUUGGAUGCAUAUUUUUUAGAUAUACUGAACAUAGUAAAACUUAUAGAUUUCUUGCAACAGAACCUAAUAGUAUUGUUGAGAUAAACGCUAUAGUGGAAUCUAGAGAUGCCAUAUUUUACGAAAAUAGAUUUUCCACUAUACUAAAAAGUAUUGACUCUCAAAAGGAUGAUAAAGCAAUAUAAAUUGGUCAAAAGCAUGCUACUAAUGAGCCAAAUCAAUUGAGAAUGAACAAAAGAAUAAAGACUGAAACAAUCAUUUCGACCAAAUUUUAUAGUCUAUUUAAUAGAAGGGAAAGAGACUCACGAUAUAAACAGACCAUGAUCAUACUUACUUUAGAGUUUGAUCCCCUCACUUAUAAAGAGACAAUGAAGUCUCAAAAUGCUGCCUUCCGUAAAGAGGCCAUAAAUGACAAAAUGGACUCUAUUAUGGGUAACAAGGCUUGGAAACUAGUUGGUUUACCCCUUGGCUCUAAUUCUAUAGGUUGUAAGUGGAUCAUCAAAAAGAAGAAGAAAAUUGAUGAAACAAUUAAAAGGUUUAAAGCAAGACUAGUGUUAAAAGGCUUCAUACAAAAAUAAGGCAUUAACUAUUUUGAUACACAUGCACCUAUUACAAGAAUUAUUACUAUUAGAGUCUUAAUUCUUUAGUUUUAAUUUAUCAUUUUGAAAUCCAUCAAAUGAAUGUAAAAACAACUUUCUUAAAUAGAGAAUUAGAUGAAGAAAUUUAUAUGAAACAACCAGAAAGCUUUUUUAUGCCAAGACAAGAACAUAAAGUUUAUAAACUAGUCAAGUUUUUAUAUUGCUUUAAACAAGCUCUAAAGUAGUGGCAUGAAAAGUUUGACAAAGUGAUUAUUUCUAAUGGAUUUAAUAUUCAUGAAUAUGAUAAAUGUGUAUAUAGUAGAUUCAAUAGAAAUAAAUGUAUGAUUAUUUGGUUAUAUAUAGAUGACAUGUUAGUUUUUGGUACCAAUAGUAAGAACAUUAAAGUCAUUAGAUCAUUAUUGUGAUCUAAUUUUGAUAUGAAAGACAUAGGGCUUGUUGAUUUAAUUUUGAGGAUUAAAAUUAUCAAAAAUGAUAAUGGCCUAGUGUUGAUCCAAUCACAUUAUAUUGAGAAAAUUUUAAAGAAAUUUGAUUAGUAUGAUUGUAAGCCUAUGUUAACAUCUUUUGAUUCAAACAUAAGAUUGUACCCUAACAUUAGAAGAGCAAUAACUCAAUUAGAAUAUGUACGUGUUAUUGGGUGUCUUAUGUAUGCUAUGAUUUGUACUAGGCCUAACAUUGCUUUCACUGUUAGAAAAAUGAGUAGAUAUACUAGUAAUCCAAGCCAAAUAUACUAGCAAGCAAUGUACAAAAUUCUAAAAUAUUUAAAACAUAUUAUAGAUUAUGGUUUAUACUAUACUAAAUGUCCUUCAGUUUUGAAAGGAUUUUCGAAUACUAGUUGGAUUACUGAUUAAGAUGAUCAUACAUCCACAAGUGGUUGGAUAUUUAAUCUCAGUGGAGGAGUUAUUUCAUAGAGUUCAAAGAAGAAAACUUGCAUAGCAGAUUCCACCAUGGCUGCAGAAUUUGUACCUUUGGCUUCAUAUUGCAAGGAAGUUGAAUAGUUAAUAAAUUUGUUUAUAGAAAUUCCUAUAUAGCCUAAAUCAAUGCCUUUUGUAUCCAUUCACUGUGAUAGUAAGGUAACUUUAUCAAAGGCAUACAACCAAAGUUAUAAUGGAAAGUCUAGGCAUUUGGGUCUAAGAUAUAGUUAUUUGAGUCAAUUGCUUAUUGAUGGAGUAAUCACAAUUGAUUUUGUGAGAUCAUGCCAAAAUUUAGCAGACCCCUUAACUAAAGGCCUUGCAAGGGACAUUGUGUUAAAAACUUCUAAUAGGAUGAGACUUAAGUCAAUUAAAAUCCUAGGUUUAACGAGCAAAGUGCAUCAUUUGUGUGAGAGCAAGCACUAGUAUUUUAAGAUGCAUCCUAAAGGUGAAUGCUUGGUACCUGUAACAUAUAGGAAAUGAUAAGUGAUAAAUCUAUAAAAUGAGAGUUAUCAUGACACUUUUAGACUUAAAUUAGUAAUACUUAGAGAGUAAAUGAUGUGCUUUUAUUGCAUUUUAGUUAUAUUUUGCAUGAACAACCAUUUUAGUUUAUUUUUAAUAAUUGAGUUGUUUUUAGAAUAAUUUGUGUUUAGAUUAUAUGCAUAAUUGUAUGUGACUGAAAGCUUAAGCUUUAAGGAAGGAACUUGGCUAUAGACGAAUUGAAACAAGGCUGGAACAGUGCAAAUGUCUUAGCGUUGCUGUAGAAAUCCUGGAGUAAUGACAGACUGAAUUUCGUGCAUAACAACUAAAAGAUUGCGAUCUAAAGUUUUCAAAAAUAGAAGAUACGCGCCACAUACUUUCAGUUGCCCUUAUUCUAAAUUAUAAAAGGAGCACGCAUAAAAAGAAAAAGAGAGGGCCGUCACUCAAGAAAAAUCACAGAGAAAAAACAAAAGAAAAACAGAAAAUAAAAGGGAUUUGAGGGCUGCAACAGAGGAAUCACAGUGAUCAAGGAGAAGAGAUCACAAGAUCAAGCGGACUUCAACUCUUUAUCUUUUUUCUUGUUUUCUAUUUGUUUAUGAGGAUGUAUUUGAUGGCUGAAACACUUUUAUUUAUUUUUCUAUCGCAAAUCAUGAAUUGAAUUUGAUUGUAGUUGAGUAAUAAACGAUAUUAAUAGAUAUUUGACUGACAUAUAUGUGUUGCAUUGUAUUUGCUAUAGCAUUUUGUCUUAAUUGUACUUGUUUCAAUUUCAUAUUUCGACUAACCAUCCAUUUUGUCGAUACUAGCUAAGAAAUAGCCUAAAAAAAGUCUAACUUAGUGGAUAAAAUUAAGAUAAUCCUUGGUUUUAGAUUGAGUUUCCCAAGUUGAGUAAAUCUCAAUUUAAAUGGGGUCAUACUUGAUCUAAAAUUAGUGAUGAACUAGACAUAGGGAUUCACCUCGUAGGGUAAAUGUAACCUAGAACGUUUAAUGUUACAUAUAAUGUUGGCAUAACAAUUAGUCAUUGUUAGUUUGCAUUAGGUAUAAAAUAUCCAAUAGGCGACAGCUGAGGAUGCAUGAGGAAUUCUACCUAGUGCUGUAGUAAAUGUUGUAGCAACGGUAUUGUAAUUGAAAAAUAGUCAAUGUCAUUAAGUGAGUUUAUUCAUUCGACUACUCCAUUCCUAUUGAUUAUAUCCUUGUGUUUGACGUGAGAAUUUUGUUUAAAGCACUUUAUUUAUUGCAUUUUUAUUUCAAUUACGUUAGUUAGUUUUAUUAGUUGUUUUAUUUUCUUUUAAAACAAAACUGCACUGUUAAGGUUGUUGUAGCACAUUUGAAAACACCAAUCCCUGUGGAGAUUAUCUGAAUACUCAUCAAUAUAUUAUUUAUUAUGUACACUUGCACAUUGACACUUGCACCUAUAGCAUUAGAAAUUACACACCAAUAAGCUAUUUAUCUUUUUAUAGACUCAUAAAUGUUUUAGUUAUAAGGACAAUUUAGAUAAGUCUACUAAAGUGAGUGUAGGAGAUGGUGUCGCUUUCUAUAUAACUUGGCUAGUUACUGAAGAGCUCAUGAAAACAAGAUAUAGAUACAAAAUCAAUCCAUGUGUCAGCUAAAGAAUUCUUGAGAAUUUGAAAAAUUAUGUGUGAGAUAUAUCCAAUUAGUCAAACAAGGUCGCUGGUUCAAAGCUCGUCUAACAUGCCACUUGAUUAACCUUAGUAUGUAGUUGCUAACUGAAGGUUUAAGUUCAAUAGAACAUUAUUCGUGUGAAGUAAUUUCUCAAAAUUUAUUUAUUUUGAAAAUUGUGGGGGAUUGUUGAAUAAUUUUCAAGAUAAAUGAUGUCUUGUCUUAAAAAUAUGUCCAAUUAAUUGUGCCUUAUAUAAGAGGUUUCUUUUCACUAAAAAAUACAUCCAUUAAUGGUGGCAUUUCAUUUGAAAUGGUGAUGGUUCAAUUUGAACGAUUGAUUAAGAUCAAAACUUGAUCCAAUGGCCCUGAAUGAAAUGACGUCAUGAAAGGUAACAAUUCAAAUGGAAGGGCAUAAGUAUAUCUAUAAAUAGAAGUCAUGUUUAAGCCAUUUAGACAUUGAAUUAAUAAUCCUACACCACUCUUUUCUCAGCCCUCUUUCCUAAAAUGAAUUUCAUCAUAUAACAUCUAUUUUUAUGCAUCAAAUAUCCAAUAUAUUGUUUACUCCAAGAACAAUAUAUUGAUUCUUGGUAGAUUUGCAACAUUCAAAAGUAUUCAUAUUUCUUUUUGUCAAUACACAAUGCAAGCAAAAAAAAAAAGUGUUUUAUUGUAUCCUUGAGUCAUAUUUGCUUAACCUAUGUUCAUCACUCAAUUGGUGGAGGAAAAUAACGUCUUAAAAAAGAAAAAUUUGUAACGUGCCUUGAAGUAGACAUUAUUAUUUUGCAAUUUACUUGUUACUAUUAUUUUCGUUGUACCUAUAGAGUUGUACAAGUAUUACUUUAUUAUAAUAAAGUUCUACCAUUAUUACUACAAUUCUCUACGUUUUUCAUUUUCCACGAAUAUAUACUUUAACAGACUGCAUUUGCAAUUGUAAUAACACCAGGACUCUGGCUACUCAAAAUAGCAAUAGCAACAACAUUGAUUAGUCCAAUAUUCACUUGGAAAUUAUGAGCCUAAUUGAAAAUACAAACAUGUCUCCUUUUGUUCAGGGCUUUGGUAAAGAGUGUGUUAUUUAGCUAGUUUGAUGUUACAAAACCAAUGUAGAGAGUGUCUUACAAGACUACUAUGAUUUAUGUGGCACAAGGGUGAGUGUGAUGUGGGCUUUGCCUUGUAGUCGAUAUAAACUAUGGAUAUGCUGAGUGGUGUUAAAGCCCUAGAAUCUAUUCUACAUUUACAGUUAUUGAGCAUGUUGGAUCAUAAACUUGUUUUUUAUCCAAGUCCAAAAAAACAUAAAGCCUAGCCUAUCUCAUAGAACUUUCUAAGUUAGGUGAGCUUAGGUGGUAAGUAAAGUUGGUGUGGUUAAUGUGGUUGAUGAAGUAGGUGAGUGGUAGGUUUUGAUGAAUGGUGAGAACUUGAAUGGUAGUUGAAUAAACGAAUGGUCGUGAUUGAUUUGAAGUAUAUAUAAAUACCCUUUUAUGUAUUUAGUUUAACCAUAAAGAGAAGUAACAAAAUCUUUAAGUUGAAGAGAGUGAAAAAAUAAGAGUUGUAUUAUUUGAAAAGUGUCGUUGAAUAAAUUAAAGAGUGUUUAUUUUCAGUAUUUAAUUUUCCAAAAUUCUCCAACAAAGUGGUAAAGAUGCUUUUGAAAUGAUUGCUAGAGCAACCUCCUCAAAGGAAACAUAGGUGAAGUUAGAGACCUCUUAUAAAGGAGCAAAACAAGUUAAGAAGGUUCGUCUUCAAACAUUACGAGGAGAAUUUGAGUCUUUACAUAUGAAGACAUUCGAGUAGAUUUCUGACUAUUUUACUCGGGUUGUGACUGUUUCUAAUGAAUUAAAAAGAAAUGGUAAUGAGUUAAAAGAAGUAAGGAUCAUUAGAAAGAUACUUCGAUUAAAAAGAAGGUUCUGACUAUUACGAGGAGAAUUUGAGUCUUUACAUAUAAAGACAUUCGAGUAGAUUUCUGACUAUUUUACUCGGGUUGUGACUGUUUCUAAUGAAUUAAAAAGAAAUGGUAAUGAGUUAAAAGAAGUAAGGAUCAUUAGAAAGAUACUUCGAUUUGUAGACUCGAAGUUUGAACGUAUUGUUGUGACAAUGGAGGAAACAAAAGAUUUGGAAACUAUAACAAUCGAGCAUCUUCAAGGAAGGUUGCAAGCUUAUGAAAAAAAAAAGAAAAAACAUAAAAUCGAAAAAAAAAACUUUUUAAGAUAUAAGUCAAUAAAAAAAAAGGCUCCGACAACAACAGAAGACAAUAUAUCCAAGGUAGAGGUAGAGGACGAGGUAGAGGUCGUGGUCAUAAACAAUGCUGGAAUUUCAAUAACAACAACUCCAAUUAUGGAAAAAGGAGAAAGCUCAACCAGAAGACAGUGUAGAGGCAAUCCAAGAUCGAGGUACGAUAAAUCUCAAGUACAGUACUAUAAUUGUCAAAAGUUUGGGCAUUAUGCUUCAGAAUGUAGAACUUCAAGUACCAAAACUGAUGAGAAAGUGAAUUACGUUGAAGAAAAGAAUGAUCAAGAUUAAACACUUUUACUAGCACGCAAUGACACUGGUGGAAGUCAAGAACAUAGAUGAUAUCUUGACACAAGUGCUAGCAAUCACAUGAGCGGAAAUUGAAGCAUGUUCAUGGAGCUAAAUGAAUUUGUGAAUGGCAAUAAUGUUUUUGGAGAUGAUUCAAAAGUAUCAAUGAAAAAUAGAGGUAACAUUCUUUUUGUGCAAAAAAUGAUAGCUGGUAUGCGAUUUCUAUUGCUAUGGCUGCCAAUAUGCAAGUGUACACAACAAGUAAUAUACUAAUGAGUAUUUAGAUCAUCUCCACAUGGAUUGAUGUUAUCAAAUUUGCAACAGCAAUCUUAACAGUGCAGUUUGUUCUAAAUGAAAAUAGACAAUUUAUAAAACUAAUAAACUAAUUAAAAUAAAAAAUGCAAUAAAUAAAAUGCAAGAAAGUAAAUUCUCACUUAAACACAAGGAUAACACCAAUGGGAAUUGAGUAGUUAAGUGAAUAAACUCACUUAAUAGCAUUGACUAUUUUUUAAUUACAGUACCAUUGAUAUUACAUCUACGACAACACUGGGUAGAAUCUCUCAUGCAUCUUCAGCUGUCACAUGUUGGAUAUCUUAUAUCUAAUGCAACCUAACAUUAAAUAUAGCAUUAAUCGAUUUAGGUUUCAUUUACCUUACAAGGUGAAUCUCUAUUUCGAGUUCAUCACUAAUUUUAGAUCAAGUAUGACCCUAUUCAAAUUGAGAUUUACUCAACUUGAGUAACUCAAUCUAAAACCAAAUAUUGUUUUAAUUAGAUCUACUAAGUCAUACUUUUUUAAGGCUCUUUCUUAGCUAGUAUCCCUAAAUGGGUGGUCAGCCGAAAUAGAGAAUUAAAUUAAGUAUGAUUAAGACAAAAUGCUAUAACAAAUACAGAGCAACACACAUAUGUCAGUUAAACAUCCAUUAAGAUCGUUUAUCACUCAACUACAAUCAAAUUUAGUUCAUGAUUUGCGAUAAAAUAAAUAAAUAAAUAAAAAAGGUUCAGCCAUCAAAUACAUCCCUAUGAAUAAAUAGAAAACAAGAGAAGAAAAAGAAGAACUGAUUUCCGAUUGAUCUAUGCACUUUCUCCUCUAGUACAACCUUUAAUAUAUCUCUUGAUUUCUGUUUUCUUGUUUUUUCUUUGCGGUGUAUCCCUUGGGUGACAGUUCUCACUCUUUUCUCUCAUGAGUUCUCCUUUUAUAAACUUUGAAUUAGGGCAACUGGAAGUCUAAGGCGUGUAUCUUCAAUUUUUAGAAACUCCAAAUCACAAUCUUUUAGUUAAUGCGCGUGAAAUCUUCUCUGUUAUUGCUCCAGGAUUGCUACAGCAACGGCUACUGCAUCUCACUUGUUUCAAUUCUUUUAUGGCCAAGUUCUUUCAUUGUCCCUGCAAGUCUGUUGCGGCAGUAUUCCUUCCUUAAAAUUUGACCUUCCGGUUACCUACAAUUAUGCAUAUAGUCUAAGCACACAAAUCAUUCUAAAUCAAACUAAAUUUAUUAAAAAUAAACUAAAAUGGAUGUUCAUGCAAAAUAUAACUAAAAUGCAAUAAAAACACAUCAUUUACCCUCUAAGUAUUACUGAUUUAAGUCUAAAACUAUCAUAAUAACUCUCAUUUCAUAGAGUUAUCAAUAGCAAUCAAUUAAUUUCAAAUGUUUAUUAUGUGCCCAGUAUGAAAAGUAAUAUCCCCAGUUUAGGCAAACUCUUGGAAAAAGGUGAUGACAUUCACUUAAAAAAUUAUAGCCUUUUCCUAAGAGAUAAUAGAGGAAACCUAAUUACGAAUGUGAAAAUGUCGAAGAAUAGAAUAUUUCCUUUAAAUAUUCUAAAUAAUAUUGCAAAGUAUCCCAAAGCUUGUCAUAAAGAUUCAUCUUGGAUUUGCCAUCUUUGAUAUGGGCAUCUCAACUUUAUAGGACUAAAGCCACUAUCAAAGAAGAACAUGGUAAAAGGCAUUCCUUCAAUUAAUCAUCCCAAUCAACUUUGUAAAGGAUAUUUACUCGACAAGCAAUUUAGGAAAAACUUUCCAAAGGAGUCAAACGCAAGGGCCCAGAAGCCACUUGAGCUUAUUCACACUGAUAUGUACGGACCAAUCAAGCCAAGUUCCUUUAGUAAAAGUAACUACUUCAUUUUCCUUAUUGAUGAUUUUUCACGAAAAACUUAAGUGUACUUUUUGAAGCAGAAGUCAAAAGUUUUUGAAGCUUUCAAGAGGAUCAAAUUGUAGUGGAGAAAGAAACUAGACAUUAGAUUAAAGCAGUGGAGGAUAAUUCACUUUCAAAGAAUUUUAACAAUUUUGUAAAGCAAAUGGAAUUUGACGUCCUUUGACUGUUCCAUAAUCUUUUUAACAAAAUGGCAUAAUAGAAAGAAAGAAUAGAACCAUCAUCGACAUAACAAGAAGCAUGCUCAAGAAUAAAAGACUACCUAAAGAGUUUUGGACUGAAGCUAUUGCAUGUGCAGUCUACUUAUCCAAACGAUCUUCAACAAGACAUAUGUGGGGAAAGAUGCCACAAGAAGCAUAGAAUGGAAGAAAGCCAGAUAUCUCCCACUUAAGAGUUUUUGGAAGUAUUGCCUAUGUACAUGUACCAAACGAGAGGAAAGUCAAGCUGGAUGACAAAAAUGAGAAGUUCAUCUUCAUUGGCUAUGACAACAAUUCUAAAGGAUACAAACUAUAUAAUCCAAAUAAUAGGAAGAUUGUGAUUAGCUAAGAUAUAAUUUUUUUUGAAGAGGGAUAAUGGGAUUUUGGCUCUCAUAUGGAUGACUUCAACUUCUUUCCUAUUGAAGAAAAUGAUCAUAUAUAGAUAAAACAAGUAGAAAAACAACUAGAGUCAUCUACUCUACCUAUCUCACCAGAAUCAACAAAAUGUGGAGAUUAACCACCAUCUUUCUUAAAUGAAAGAACCGAAUAAUGUACAAGAAGUUUUCAAAAUCUCUACAAGGUAACUGAGAGGCUUGAUAAUCUCACUUUCUUUUGUCUUUUGCUAAUGUGAACUAGUGAACUUUCAUGGAAGCUUUCAUAAAGNNNNNNNNNNNNNNNNNNNNNNNNNNNNNNNNNNNNNNNNNNNNNNNNNNNNNNNNNNNNNNNNNNNNNNNNNNNNNNNNNNNNNNNNNNNNNNNNNNNNNNNNNNNNNNNNNNNNNNNNNNNNNNNNNNNNNNNNNNNNNNNNNNNNNNNNNNNNNNNNNNNNNNNNNNNNNNNNNNNNNNNNNNNNNNNNNNNNNNNNNNNNNNNNNNNNNNNNNNNNNNNNNNNNNNNNNNNNNNNNNNNNNNNNNNNNNNNNNNNNNNNNNNNNNNNNNNNNNNNNNNNNNNNNNNNNNNNNNNNNNNNNNNNNNNNNNNNNNNNNNNNNNNNNNNNNNNNNNNNNNNNNNNNNNNNNNNNNNNNNNNNNNNNNNNNNNNNNNNNNNNNNNNNNNNNNNNNNNNNNNNNNNNNNNNNNNNNNNNNNNNNNNNNNNNNNNNNNNNNNNNNNNNNNNNNNNNNNNNNNNNNNNNNNNNNNNNNNNNNNNNNNNNNNNNNNNNNNNNNNNNNNNNNNNNNNNNNNNNNNNNNNNNNNNNNNNNNNNNNNNNNNNNNNNNNNNNNNNNNNNNNNNNNNNNNNNNNNNNNNNNNNNNNNNNNNNNNNNNNNNNNNNNNNNNNNNNNNNNNNNNNNNNNNNNNNNNNNNNNNNNNNNNNNNNNNNNNNNNNNNNNNNNNNNNNNNNNNNNNNNNNNNNNNNNNNNNNNNNNNNNNNNNNNNNNNNNNNNNNNNNNNNNNNNNNNNNNNNNNNNNNNNNNNNNNNNNNNNNNNNNNNNNNNNNNNNNNNNNNNNNNNNNNNNNNNNNNNNNNNNNNNNNNNNNNNNNNNNNNNNNNNNNNNNNNNNNNNNNNNNNNNNNNNNNNNNNNNNNNNNNNNNNNNNNNNNNNNNNNNNNNNNNNNNNNNNNNNNNNNNNNNNNNNNNNNNNNNNNNNNNNNNNNNNNNNNNNNNNNNNNNNNNNNNNNNNNNNNNNNNNNNNNNNNNNNNNNNNNNNNNNNNNNNNNNNNNNNNNNNNNNNNNNNNNNNNNNNNNNNNNNNNNNNNNNNNNNNNNNNNNNNNNNNNNNNNNNNNNNNNNNNNNNNNNNNNNNNNNNNNNNNNNNNNNNNNNNNNNNNNNNNNNNNNNNNNNNNNNNNNNNNNNNNNNNNNNNNNNNNNNNNNNNNNNNNNNNNNNNNNNNNNNNNNNNNNNNNNNNNNNNNNNNNNNNNNNNNNNNNNNNNNNNNNNNNNNNNNNNNNNNNNNNNNNACGUAUCAAGAGAAGUAACAAAAUCUCUAAUUUGUAGAGAGUGAAAAAAUAAGAGUUGUAAUAUUUGAGAAGUGUUUUUGAAGAAAUAAAAGAGAGUCUAUUUUAAAUAUUUGAUUUUCCAAAAUUCUCCGACAAAGCCAACUUGGUUUGCUGUGCUUUUAGGGAUAUUGAACAUGAAAAUGAUUUAAAAAAUUCAUGUUGUUUAUUAAAAUAAAUCAUUUCUCCCGUCAUAUUUCAAAAUCAGUCAAAACUACUUGUUAAAAAGAUUCCGUUUAGUUUCAAUUUUUUUUGUGGAUUUUACUAUGUUAUCACUAUAAGUAAACUUAUGAUGCACAAAGGUCAACAAUAAAUCAAUAAAAGGAAAAAAUUAAUCAUAAAUGUGAUUUUAAGGGUAAAAUUAAAAAAUAGACACAAAAAGAUAGAAAGUUCACGUAAUCAUUUUAAUGCCAAAGAGUUUUAAUGAGUUUUGAGAUGUAAGGAGAGAAAAAAUAAAUUCACUAGAAUAAUAGGAGGAUUUUGAUCAUUUUUCCACUGAUACACAGAAAAAUGAUACACACCACCUGUCCUGAAAUCGUUGAUGGCAACACAAAAGUUGAAGAUUAUUGAAGAUUAGUGAAUCCUUUACGAGUAUAUACAUAACUAUCCUUAGAUAUUUAUUCUGUUAAUUUGUUAAUAUUCAACUGAUUAUUUUUUAAUUCUAUUGUUAAGUGCUCGUUUUUCCUAUAUAUAGUUUUCAUAUUUGGGCUGCUGCUAGUGUAUAUCGACUAGACCGACACCAAUACUAGAAUUGUUUAUGAUCGAUGAAGUAAAAAGUAGUCUUUUUGUUAAUUUGGAAAUUGUGGUCGUUCCAUUCAAAUAAUCUUCUAAAUUUAAAGUUGGUUGAUGAACCAUAUAUAUAUCACAUAGAUUUGCUCAUAUAUAAUAUUAUAUAUAAUACACAGUACAUGGAACAAAAAUGUGUGGAUAAUCUAACGCGAAUGAUCUAACUCUAUGUCUCAAAAGUCAUUUUUUCCUUCCAAGUGGGAAAAUAUUGCAUGGUCUUGGAUAGACAUCCACCCUCUUUGUAGGUGUCAGGUGUGCAUGAGUCUAUUAUUUUAGCAAACUAGGGAAGGAUGACGGAUGAGGAGAAAAAGAUUAUUUAUGAAUUGACUUCUGUAAUAUUGAUAGGGUCACAAAUUUAAGGGAGUAAUGUUACGCAAACAAAGUCUGCAUCUCAACAAACACGACACCAUAUAAUUUAAAUCUAUCACAUGAUUAUGUGAAAUGAUAGUUAAUAAAUCAAAUAUUAUUAACAUACUAGAUGAUUUUAAAUGUCAUGUCAAUUCUAACUAUGCAAGUAAAAUAUUAAUUGUUUGAUGAGAAACGUUUAUGCAAAUAUAUAAAAGAUUUUCUACCUACUCAUAGUUUACGUUCCUCGACAAAGUGUUCAGAUCUUGCAUAUUAUUAUUAUUAUUAAUGGCAAAUUUAUUAAAAUAAAAUUAGAAGAGUUGUUCAUGGUCAAAUAUUCUUUUCGCAAGGAUAAGCUGGUCAUCAACUCCAAUUGUUUAGUAGAGAAGGUAAAAGAACGAAAGGCAGAGUUAUUGAAAACUGGAUAGGUCAUACAGGGAUAUUGACAUGGCUUGAAAGUAAUCUUCUUUCUUUUCUUUUGUUCUCUUGUUACGUUCACAUAAAUUGCUUAAUUGAUUGAUGAAAAAUUGAUGCUUUCCAGCGACUAAAGCUUUACUAGUCCCAGUGAAAAAUUUCAGCCAGUCAGUACAUCAAAUUUUCAUUUAUUGCGUGUUUUUGUGACCAAAAUAACUCUAACAAGUAAGAACCCCCCCCACCCCCCCCCCAAACAAAAAAAGUAAGAACCCUCUCAAUCAAAUUGUAAAUCAUUGUAAUUAAAAGUCUUCAAUUAAAAUUUUUUAAGUCCUAUGUUAUAUUCUCCUUACGAGAAAUUUUAGAAUACAUUAAAGAAAAUAUGAUUAAUUAAUAUUUGUAUGGCAUGUAUAGUUAGAAUUUAUAUAAUUACACUUUCAUAGUAGUUUCAAAAUAAAUUUAUAACGGUUAUAAUAUCAUUUUGGUUAUUACCUAAUUUGACAUGAAAUAUUAGAGAUAUUUCCAAAUUUCUCUCUCCUCAAAAUUUUUGUCAAGAAUUUUUCUAGCAGUUUUAAUUAUUUGACAGCCAUCUUAAAACAAUUUUUUUUCCUCNNNNNNNNNNNNNNNNNNNNNNNNNNNNNNNNNNNNNNNNNNNNNNNNNNNNNNNNNNNNNNNNNNNNNNNNNNNNNNNNNNNNNNNNNNNNNNNNNNNNUUGAGCGCUAAAAUUAAUCAUUGAUUUAUCCUCUUUCGUCUUACAUAACACACUUCCAUCGUCAUCAUAUCCAUCACCAAUAGCAAAAUUCAAUUAGAUUUUUUCUUUUUGCAGAAGUUGUCAUUAAUUAAUUUUCUAUUUAUUGCUUUUUUUUCAUGUUUAAUACCAUAAAUAUAUCUCUCUUGUUGAACGCUCUUUAGCAAGAAUAGCAUCUGAAACUGUAUUUUUGUUUUUUCUUUUGUUUUAGCUUUUUCUUCUGUGAGGAAUUUCGUCAAACAUGUAGCAGACACGAAAUACAUCUAAGUUCUUUUUAACUCAAACGUAAGUUAACACACAAAAAUCAAUCUUGAAGUCCACGCAAAAGUUGCAUAAGUGAAAUGGAUCAUUACAUUGAAGAAUUAGACAGAAAAAAAAAAAGGAAGAACUUGAAGAUGUAAAGAUGAAAUUUUGGGGCAAAUACCAUCAACAGCCAACUGAUUCCAGCAAAAAGAAGAAAGAUAAUGCACAGAAAACGUUGAAGGAGUUGAUGAAAAGCAAAAUGAAAAAAAGAAAAAGAAAUUAUGCGUUCGUCAAUUUGUUCGUGUUCGAUAGAUUACCAAAUACAAAAAAAUGGUAGCAAUACCCUUUAAUUGAAACUAAGUUUUAUUAGGCAAGAGAAAUUGAGAAAGAAAAAAAAAUGUUAAUCCUAAUCGUUGAUGGUAGAUGAUGGUAUGUGUAAGUGGAUCCUUACAAGUUAAGUUAUAACCCAUCUGAUUUCACCAAUAUACUUGAAGAUAUGCGUGGCAAUUUAAAACACGUUAGAUUAUUUGACUUUUGAACCAACGGUUAGUUGGGUUAAGGACAAAAAUUGUGGUACCAUACGAUAGUUGCAACAUAGGCGAUUCCGGUUCUGUUAUACUAGUUUUAGUUUAAAUAGAAAUGUUGGAUUUUUAAUUCGAAUUCAUGAUCCAGUUUGACUGCUUUUGGCGGGAAAGUUUGUUAAGCUGCAUGCUGGACUGGAGCGCACCAACGGAAGUUAGUUACGGCAGCUGCUGCUUUGACUUUUGGUUGACCUGAGCUGUUAUGUAGGCUGAUAAACAGAGCAGGUAUAGGAGCUUGUAGUUAAUGCAUUUCUCUGAGUUAGAAAGCACUUGAUGACUCAUUAGAAAUCUGGUUGUAAUCUCUUUAAAUAUGGGUCUUUUAUUCUAAAUGAAAAAGAGCUUGAGGCUGGCUUGUGGUGCGUAAAUUUUUGUGAUUGUUGUUGAUCAGUUCUCCCGUGUGUGCUCUGCCUUCUGCUUGCUAGCUGUGUUUGUUUCAAUUACUGAGGCAAAUCUUGGUUAUUUGUGUUUGCUCUUAUCAAGCGACAUCAACUGGUCAUCUACCAUUUGAUCUUGGGGCUUAAUAUAAUCUGUUUCACAUCAGAUUUUGCGUAACAAAAAGUAAUGAAGAGAUUAAUUAGAAUUAUAUGUGCGUACGUAUGGACAAAAUAUAUGUGUAAGGAGAAGGAUGGGAAAGGCUUAGUUGCUAAAUAAAAACAACAAUAAAUUAUGUAUAUUAUAUGGCUACAGUCAACCUGGAGCGAGGUUCAUAAGAGACUGCUUUUAUUACGUCAUGAUAUGAUAAUAAACCACUAGUGAAGAGGCCAUUUAUAGUAAAGCUCAUUAAUUCCUUCUCCUAAUUGCCAUUAAUGAACUUAUCCUGAAGAUCUUUCACUAUCUUUGGGUCCAACUGGAAUGCCUUGCCAAGGAAAUCGGGAUUGAUUGGAGGAUUGGCUCCGAAGACCGUGUCGGCUAUGGUAAUGACACCAGGGAACUGGCUGCUGAAACCGGCAAAGGCAACUGCACUUUUGUUUCCAAUGUUGACUUGGAAGUGAAUCAAACCAAUUGGAAACACAAAAACAUCUCCCUUGUUCAGAACUUUUGCGAUGAGUGUGUUAUUUAGUUGGUUCGAUGUCACAAAACCAACGUAAAGAGUUCCUUCCAGGACCACCAGGAUUUCAGUGGCACGGGGAUGAGUGUGAGGUGGAUUUUGGCCGUACGGCGCGUAGUCAAUACGGACUGCUGAUGUGCCAAGAGUGUUAAGUCCUGGAAUCUGCUCAACAUUUGCAUUUGUCACAUUAAAACCAAGUCGAUUUUCUGUGUUUCCAGGCUUGUCUAGCCCUGAUAAAAAGAAAUCUUCUGCUUUCGCAAGCUUGGGGUCCUUGCAGAACUUUCCAUUCACAAACACUACAAGAACACAUAAAAAGAAAAAAGGAAUAGUUAAGUAGCAGCACAAAUUAUAUUGAAAAUCACAUGUUUUAUCAGUUAAGCUUACGUACCACCAUCCUUGUGAUCAAUGAUGGCCACACAGAUAUCUUGAAGAGGGCUGGGUCAUAGGCAGAGGCCAAGGAAGAAGCCAAAGCGAAAAGAGCAAAACCUAUAAGAAAUUGAAUAGCCUUCAUGGUGAUGAAUUAAUGGGAUGUAUUUGUCUCAAACUUUAAUCAAGUGUUGUGAUUUGAGAAUCUUGCGGGGACACUAGCCUAUUUAUAGAAGGGAGUCCAUGAACGAGUCUGUGUGUUCAAUUUCUUAGUCCUCGAAGCAGGUGAAGACUUACUGAGUCCUCAUUGGUUACCUCUCUUUUAAUUUAUAUUUCGAAGACAACAUGUUCAAUCAAUGUGCACAUUUGCCAUAUACGACUAUAAUAAAUUAAAUUUUUCCCUACGUGAUCUAUGACAUAGUUAUCUUAUAAUUAAUGAUGAAAAGUCUAUAAUAUUUUUAUUAUUUUUUGUUAAAACUAUUAUUAAAAAGUCAUUUAAUAUACAUUAUCAAUUUUUAUUUUAUAUUUAUAACUUACGUAGAAAGUUAAUUUACGUUAUUUUAGAUAAUUUAGGAUUCUAUAAUAUUUAUUGUUUUCGGAUUUUCUAUUUUACUUUGAGUAAAUUAUGAUAUGUAUCUUAAUCUUUUAUUUUCAUUAUAACUAUAAUUUAGUUUUCCAUUUUAGGUUAAUUUAAGGAAGUGGGUUUUCUCUAAUAUAAAUAGAGAUGUCUUGUCAUUGUUUUGAGACUUGAGAUUCAAUUAUUUAAUAAAACUCAUUUUUCAUAAUUCUCUCUAGGAUUUUCUAUCAAAAUCUCUCUUAUAGAAGCAUUUGAAUUAGAACGUCAUCCAAUUACGUUUCGAUUAGAGCGUAAGCUAAUCACAUUAACUUGGUUCAAUAUUAGAACGAUAUCUAAUUUUCAUACCAUAUCAAUUUAUGCUUUCGCUACACCUGGCUCAAUCAAUUGGUAUCAGAGCGGUUUUAUGCGAUUCGCACAACUUGGUACCCCUCCAGAUCCAUCCAUACCAAAUCCACCUCCAAAAAAAAAUCAAAAAUCAAAAAUUCCCAAUUUGACAAACCCUAGCCGCCGCCACACUCCACCCAUUGCCGCCACCAUCGCCAUUGUUCAACCGACCACUAGACUCAUCAUCAUUCAGCGACUAAACCGCAGCCAUCACAGUCUCAACCGCCGGCUGAACCACCGCAAAUCACCAACUCAAACCCGCGGCGCAAUCCACCACCAUUCAGCCACUUUCACCGCCAGCCAACAUUGCCAUCAAACUUACCAUCAGUAGCCGCCCAAAAUCCGACAAACUUCAGCCCUUGAUCGUAGCCCGCAACCACCACGCGAACGACCCAAACCGCGAGCCUCCACCAACCGCCGCCGCAAAACCGGCUACUUUUUCCGUCUACCACCACCACUAAAACCUUCCCCAGCCUUCACCAAUCAAAACCCAACCAUUUCGGUGACCCAUCGUCGCUGGAAUCUCCAUUGCAAAAGCCACCUCUCCACCGCAAGCCGUCUUAAUUUUAAGCCGGAAUUCGCGAAAAAUCGUGGCGAGUCUAGCCAAACCACGACCACCAUCGUGAUCCCCAACCCCAGAUCUUCUACAUCCAAUACACUUCGGUCCCAAUCACAGCCAUCGGCCGCCGGCCAUAUCAAACCCUAGAGUUGAGCCUUAAUUACAGUUUUGCCAUUAUGUGGAAACGUAAAUGGCAAACUAUCAUCAUUGCCCUCCUAUUUAUCAUGUGCCGAUAUUAUUUGCAUUUACAGGUACAAACAAAUUUCUUGAUUGGUUGGAUAAGGUUGAGCACUGGUUUUUAUUUUGGCGUACUCCUAAAAAAGAGCAAGUCUCGUUUGCUACCAGUAGAUUAAGCAUAAUUGCUUCCGAAUGGUGGGAUGAGUUGCAAAUUUCUCGACUUGACCAAGGCAAACGCAAAGUUCGAUCAUGGAACCGUAUGAAGCGUAUUUUGCGAUCUAAGUUUAUCCCUCUUGAUUAUUGUUUGGUACAGUAAGAUACGAUAUCCGUUUCUGCUUAUGCUUAUGAGUUUGAACAAUUUUAUAGAUACAAAUAUUAUUAUGAACCUGAGGAGAAUACAGCUACAAGAUUUGUGAAAGGGCUUGAUUUGCAUAUUCAAGAAAGGAUGCUUACAUACAUUAUCUACAAUUUGCAGCAUGCAAUUCACUUAGCCAAGCAAAUCAAAUCGCAAAUUGAGUCACAAUGACAAAGAAACUUUGAUGAUGUGAUUAAGAAACUUGAAGAAGUCUAGAAUUUAAGCAAGAAAUGGCGUGUCUCUAUGAAAGUGCCUAAAGAUGUACUAAUGAGUUCACCUAUCAUUGAGAAAGAAUACUCGCACAAGAUGUCAGAAGAAAAUAUACAAUUCAUUAGUGAUUUAAAGUUUCAAUCUAACAAUUUAUGCAAAAAUGUGCAUGAUGUUUCCUUGGAGGACAAGACAAAUGUUGAAGAUGAUGAAAUUUUUUAUCUCUCUAGGAUUUUUGAUGAAGUAGAACAACCUACCCUUAAUUUCUACAUUGAACCUAAUAGUACGAUCGAGGAUGUGUAGCAAAAUCAAGUUGAAGAAGUUGAAAUUAUUGAAAUGGUUCUACCUAUUCACAUUGAAGAAAAGAAAAUUGUACUUGAAGACGAUUUGAUUGAAAGGGUGAAACUUAUUGAAGAGCGCAUUGAGAGACAAUUGGGGAAGGGCAAAAGUUAUUUUAUCAUUGUUUGUUCUUAGAAGUCUUCAUCACCUCAAAGAAUGUACAAGCGAAGGAAGUUGAUAAAGUUUGGAUACUUCAAGGUUUUAAGAAAGAUUGAUGAGCAAGACAAUAAGUUCGAAUUAUAAGAUGAUUUGCUCCUACACUACAAGUUUCAUCCUCCCGAUUGUAUUCAAAUUCGAGGACAAGUUCUUUUAAGAGGGGGAGAAUGAUGUAAGAAGUUAAUUUACGUUAUUUUAGGUAAUUUAGAAUUCUAGAAUAUUUAUUAUUUUAGGAUUUUCUAUUUUAGUUUAAGUCAAUUAUGGUAUGUAUCUUAGUCUUUUAUUUCCAUUAUAAUUGUGAUUUAAUUUCCCAUUUUAGGUUAACUUAGAGAAGUGGGUUUCCUCUAUUAUAAAUAGAGAGGCCUUGUCAUUAUUUAAAGACUUGAGAUUCAAUUAUUCAAUAAAACUCUGCUUUUAUAAUUCUCUCUAGGAUUAUCUAUCAAAAUCUCUCUUGUAAAGUCGUUUGGAUUAGAGCGUCAUCUAAUCUCGCAUUAUGCGUUAUUAUAAAAUCUCAUUGAGUCGUUUGGGUUAAAACAAUAUCUAAUUACGUUUCGAUUAGAGCAUAAGCUAAUCGCGUUGGCUUGGUCCAGUACUAGAACGAUAUCUAGUUUUCAUACCCUAUCAAUUUCUACUUCUGUUACGCCUCGCUCCAUCAAUAACUUUUUUUUCAUAACAGAUAUAACUUUUUUAAGCUACAUUAUCUCAAUAUCAAACAAUACGAUGUAAUAGAGAGAACAAAGACAUGAAUUAGAAAGUUCCAAUCACGAGUGUCAAAGGCAUUUUUAAUGUCAAUCUUCAAGGUCACAUUCCCUCCAUGAAUCUUGCAAUUGAGCAGAUUAAUUCAUUCAAAAACAGAGCUGAUACUCUCACGAAUGCUUCUGCCCUAGAUGAAAACCGUUUGUUGAGAUGAGAUAAUUUUAGGAAGUAACGAACUUACUCUGUCGGCAAGAAUUUUAAACAGUAUGAAUUUGACGAAAGUUUUCCUAGUAUAAUAGGUUUGUUCAGUAACAUUAGUUUUUAUAGAACUAUGACACCAAUCAUCAUUCAUUUAUCUUAAUUACCAAAAUCUUUAAAAAUUGAGGAGAUAUUAAAUUAAGAGAGGAUUCUAUUUGCCUAAUCUGAGUUCUUAUAAGUUUUCAAAGAUUUGUGCCACAUAUCCUUUAAUACUAGUAUAUGAUUAUGUUUUAACUACUUUUAUUUUUUAAUUUAUUAGCCAUCAAUAUAUUGAGUGAAUUUAGCUGGGGAACAUAUCGAAUUAUGAGAGGAUUCUAAUCCCUUGAAGAAACCUAAAAUAUAGUUGUCAAAAAAAGUUUUUGUAAAAUUAUUUUUCUUAGAGAAAUAAUACCUGCAAAAAAUUUAAGUACAUAUAAUUGGACAAUUAGCUGCUUUAACCAUUUUUAGUUCUAAAAUGCCUUGCGAGGUCAAUAAUGUACAUGUUUUUUUCAUUGCAUGUUAGAGUUAUCGAAUCAUCUGCUUCAAGAAAAAAAAAUUGAAGACUCGGAUCAGAAGGAACAUAUCAAAUUAUGAGAAGAUUUUAAUCCCUUGAAGAAACCUAAAAUAUAGUUGUCAAAAAAUGUUUUUGUAAAACUAUUUUUCUUAGAGAAAUAAUACCUGCAAAAAAAAUUUAGUACAUAUAAUUGGAUAAUUAGCUGCUUUAACCAUUUUUAGUUCUACAAAUGCUUUACCAAGUCAAUAAUGUACAUGUUUUUUUCAUUGCGUGUUAGAAUCAUUAAAUCAUCUGCUUCAAGAAAAAAAAAUAAAAAUUGUAUACUUGGAUCAAAAAGGAACAUAUCAAAUUAUGAGAGGAUUCUAAUCCCUUGAAGAAACCUAAAAUAUAGUUGUCAAAAAAAGUUUUUGUAAAACUAUUUUUCUUAGAGAAAUAAUACCUGCAAAAAAAUUAAGUACAUAUAAUUGGACAAUUAGCUGCUUUAACCAUUUUUAGUUCUACAAAUGCCUUACCAAGUCAAUAAUGUACAUGUUUUUUCAUUGCGUGUUAGAGUCAUCGAAUCAUCUGCUUCAAGAAAAAAAAAUUGAAGACUCGGAUUAGAAGGAACAUAUCAAAUUAUGAGAGGAUUCUAAUCCCUUGAAGAAACCUAAAAUAUAGUUGUCAAAAAAUGUUUUUGUAAAACUAUUUUUCUUAGAGAAAUAAUACCUGCAAAAAAAUUAAGUACAUAUAAUUGGACAAUUAGCUGCUUUAACCAUUUUUAGUUCUACAAAUGCCUUACCAGGUCAAUAAUGUACAUGUUUUUUUCAUUGCGUGUUAGAGUCAUCAAAUCAUCUGCUUCAAGAAAAAAAAAAAUUGAAGACUCGGAUCAAAAGGAACAUAUCAAAUUAUGACAAGAUUCUAAUCCCUUGAAGAAACCUAAAAUAUAGUUGUCAAAAAAGGUUUUUGUAAAGCUAUUUUUCUUAGAGAAAUAAUACCUGCAAAAAAAUUAAGUACAUAUAAUUGGACAAUUAGCUGCUUUAACCAUUUUUAGUUCUACAAAUGCUUUACCAAGUCAAUAAUGUUCAUGUUUUUUUCAUUGCGUGUUAGAGUCAUCAAAUCAUCUGCUUCAAGAAAAAAAAAUAAAAAUUGGAGACUCGGAUCAGAAGGAACCAAAAGUCUUCCAUCUUAUUUUCGGUGGUCAGGUUAAUUAGAAGCUGGAGUCGGUGCGAUUAGUUAGCGAUAGUGAUAUCCUUUUACAAUGUCAACUGAUAAAUAUAAUUUCAACUUUAAUGGCUGCCCGAGGCUUACCUACCGGCUAGAUAAUUUUUUUUUUAUAAAAUUAGUUACCUUGAUUUGUUAUAUAAUCAGGAGGAUAUUGGAAUAAAAGUGAAUAAUUCUUUUCGAUGCUUUAUAUAUGUAUUUUAUUCCCUAUUAUUGUGAUUCUACCAUCUUAUAUCACAUUGUGUUUUUUUUUUUUUUUAAUCUGAAUAGACUUAAAUUAAUGUGAAUUUUGAAUAAACUUAAAUGUAUGAAUUUGAAGAACCUAAUUAUUUAUUUUUUUGUUUGAAGCUUUGAGAAGAAAUAUUAAGUUAUUUUUUUAACUUAAAAAAAAUCUAAAAACCAUUAUUGUUACAUUUGUGUCCAUAUAAUUUUAAAUGUUAAGUAUAUAAUAAACAUCUCAAAGAAUAUAAAUAAGAUAGUAUUUUAUUAUAACAUAAUUCAUAGUCAAGUGAAUGCAACCUUUUAAUAUUCUAAAUUAGAAUAACAUUGAUAAAAUUUUGUGAAGAUAAAUAAUUCUAGUUUGAAGAAAAUAAAAAGAUAAAAAUAAUGAUAAUCUACUUGUAUAUUUGUAGGCUUUAUUAAGGUGAGGAGGAAAAUAAAUUAGUUAGAUAAAGGUACUUUGGAGAUUAUUUUUAAAUGAUGUGAUAAUUUUCAAAUUAAGUAAAAAGUUAAAAAAUAAUUAGUUUAAUAACUUAACGGCUUAUUAAUUACUAUUAAAUUGAAAAAUUAACAGACUUAGGUGGCGUUUGUUUUUUUGUCUGAAAUCUGAAUAAACCUGAAUUAGUCUGAAUUCCGAAUAGAUAUGAAUAUCUGAAUCUAAAUAAUAUGUUUGUUUUUUCGUCUGAAUCUCAGAAAAUAAGUAUUAAGUUGUUUUUUUUUCAACUUAAAAAGCUGAAAAUAUGUACUUUUACAUUUGUAUCCUUAUUAAAUUUGAAUGUCAAAUAAAUAAUAUAUUAAAUACCACAAUAUUUUAACAUUUAUAAAUAAAACUAUAUUCAAGUGAAUACAUAAUUAUUUUAGAAUUUUAAUAUAUAAAAUACCAUAAAUUUCAAAUUUUAUCGUAUAUAAUAUAAGAAAGUAUAUAAUAUAAAAAAGAAAAAACAGAGAUAUUUUUCUGUGGGGUAAAUGUCUAUGGGUGAGUUUUGGGAUAGAUAUGAAAAAUAAAGGGAUAUUUUUAACAUUAGCAAGUAAUUGACUUAAUUGAGAUUUCUCCAUUAAGUAAAAAGCCAAAAAAAUUGGCUUAUUUUAUUAAGUUAAAAUUAUCUAAAAAGUCUCAUUAAGUUAUAAAAACAAACACCUCUAAUUAACUUAAUUAAUUAAGUUAAGUCACUUUAAGUCAUUAAGUUAAAAAACAAACGUCACCUUAGGGUCCAUUUGAGAUUUCUUUUGUGAGGUUCAAAAGUGAUUUUAAAAAACUAAAAGGUAAUUUGGAUAUUUGGUAAAUUUUCUUUAAAAUCACUUUUAACAAAAUCACCCCAUCCUAUAGCAGAUUUUUUAAAAUAGGGAAAGAGUAGCUUUUUAAAAUCUAAUUUUGAGAAUCACUUUUUUAUUUAAUACAAUUCCAUAUAUAUCAUCAUAUAUAGGAUAAAACUCCAAAAUUAUCCUUGCUAAUUAGGAAAUAAAGCCAUUACUUUUAAAGAGAUUAUUUUUAUUACCAAUUAUAUUAUGACAACAAAAUAAAAAAAUAAAACUAAUAAUAUAAAAUAUUUAUUUUAGUUAUCAAUUAUUAUAUAUAUAUACCUAAAAAUAUUAUAGAUAUAGAUAUAGAUAUAGAUAUAGAUAUAUAGAUAUAUAGAUAUAUAGAUAUAUACACAUACAUGUUUAUAAAUAUGUACAUAAAAUUUAUUCAAUAUUACGUUCAAUUCAAUCAUUCACAUUCUUAUAGUAUUUUAACAAUAAGACUUACCAAACACAUAGAGCUAUUUUUAAAACUCACAACACUUUUAAAAAUAAAUUUUACUAAAUGUUUAGUUGAUUAUCUUCACAACUGGUUAUUUUUGCAGCACAGCGAACGACAAUUAUUUUAAAAGCUAGAACAUUAUCAAGCUGGCUCUUCAUGGGUUAACUGAUUAAAAUUAAGUCAAUUAAGUCAUUAAGUUAGGAAACAAACAGCCCUUUAAUAAAUUUAUGAAUGUAAAUAUUGAUAAAUUAUAAUGCAAUUAAAAAUAAUAAUCUCUUCCUUUGUUCACUUUUUUAAUUAAAAUUAGUUUCAUUAGCUAUUUUAAAUAACAAGCUGUUUAAUUAAGUCUCUAGUCUCUCUUCCUAGAAUGCAAGGUAAAAAAAUUAAGCUAGAAAUAUCAUAUCAAAGUAAUGCGUAGUCACACAUUUUUGUCAAAUAUUCUAGACUUUCUAAUUACACAUUUUACCAUUUAGUCCAUGAUUUUUAAAGAUACCUAUUACAUUUCUAAUAUUAUAUUUUUAUUUUGAAUUAUUCAGUUGAACCAUGCAUGCAGCUUUUUAACAUAUAGCACACUCCAUAACUUUUAGUGUGGGGAAGGAAAAAAAGUGCGCAUCAUAUUAGACAAAGUGCACAUUUGGUAUGACUUAUCUAAUGAUUAUAAGUGCUUAUUUAUCUUAUAAGUACUUUUAAAAAUUUUUAUUGUUAUUUGAUUGUAUUUUAAGUAGAGCUUUUAGGGAUAAAAUAAAUUAUUUUAUCUAUACUAGUAAAAACUUGUCUAUUAAAAUAAUUUUAUAUAAUUUUUAUAAAAGUUCUCAUCAACAACUAAAUAACUAAAUUUUUUUUAAUAAAAACUAUGCUUGUCAAAGUUUUACUAAUAAGAGCUCUAUUUGAAUAAAUCCUAUCAGAAAAAAAAAAAUUGUACUAAGGGGCAGGGACGGAUGCAGCACAUGACCAGUGGGGGCUUGAGCCGCCACUGGCCAAAAAAAAUUAAAAAAAUAAAAGAGAAAAAUAUUUUAAUUUUCUAAUUAGUCCCCAUUAAAUUUAUUAAAAUAGUCACUAUAAAAUAUAAACUCCCAUAAAUUUAACUUUAACUUUUAAGAAAUAUAAAAACCUAUAUUUUAAUUAAAAAUAAUGAUAGCCCACCACCCAAAAUAUUUUCUAUUUUAAAAAAUAUAGUUAAUUCUUCCAGUUUAUAUAAUAAUAGUAGAACGAACGUUUUCAAUAAUAAAACUCAUUAAGAAUCAUCUUUGGAAUCGGAUGGGAUAAGUGAUAGUUUGGUUGUUUAUAUAGGAAACAAUAAAUUUAAUAAUAUUAAUAAUAAGUCUAUUGGAUAACAUUUUUAAAAUAUAAAAAUGCGUAGAGACUAAUUAUAAAUGUAUUAGCAAAUAUUUUAUAUAUUCAAAAUUUUAGUUUUUUAUAUUUUACUAUUAUCUAAUUUAGCCCCCGAUAAAUUAUUUUUCUUGACCUUUUUGUAUGAAAGAGUACAAUAGCGGUGGGUUACGCAAAUGAUUUGGAUGGGCUUUGUACUUUUUAACAUGUCGUGUGAGAUUAUAUCUAAAAGAACGAAAUGAACUUCCACCAAUUUGCAAACAUUGUCUUUUAAAUCGAUCAUCCACAUCAAACGAACUCUAUAAGACAUGAAAUAUAAAGACAGUUUAAAAAAAUUUCUCAUGCCUUUGCAAAAUGCAUAAUAUGUUUAUAAAGCAUACCUGAAUGUAUUCCUAUAUUUUUUCUUUUGAAUCCUUUGGUACUUUUCGCCAAUCCAUGAAAAGAAUGGAAACUAAUGUCUUAGUGACAGCACCAAUUGUCCAUCGCUAUUAAAUCUAACUCUCUCUCUCUUCCCAUCACUACGAUUCUUAGUAACACCCUCCAUCUUGACAAUUCCUCUAGUCUUCUGUAUCUUCUUAUUAGUAUCAAAGUCUUCUAAAUCAAGAUCUUCUACAUUAACAUCAGCAUCAUCUAUAUCAUCCAUGGACAUAAUAUCAUCAUCAUAUUCCUCCAUGGUCAUAAUCCUGCGAAAGCACAAUGCAAUAUUAAGUACUCAUUUGUCACAUAUCAAUAGAUAAUUUAGCUAUUAGGACAUCAUUAACUAUAAUUAAUUAAAUAAGCAAAGAAGUGAAAUCAUUAAACUUCAGAAACAAUAAACUACAUACUCACUUUACAACACAAACAAUUAAGCUUUCUUAAUUGUUUUAUUAUGAAUCCAGAUCUUCUCACCAUCAUCACGCUUGUAAUUCUUGCUGUCCUUCUCCCCUUUCUCAAAAUUUUCAGGAUUUGGCAUCAUUUUAGGGAAAAGGUGGAGUUCCACAUUAUGUCCUAAAUCCAUAUCACGUUGAGGAUGCAUGUAAACUUUUUCUGCAGUAAACCGUACAACUGACCACCUUGGAUCUAGUUGGUCAGUUACAUAAAAGACUUGCUUUGCUUGUGAGGCUAGAAUAAAACGAUAUGAUUUAUGACCUAUACGAUUAAGGUCAACUAAGAUUGUCCCAAGCUCAUCAACUUUAACACCACUAUGACUCUCAACCCAAUCACACUUAAAUAUGGGAAUUUGGAUCAUGUGAUAGUCAAGCACCCAUAUCUCUUUAAUGACUCCAUAGUAAGGCAUUUCUCCAAAAAUAGGAUUCUUGUCCUUGGCACUUGCAAUUUGCUCUGUUUCAGCUACAAGAGUCACUCCACUGUUUUGAGUGGUUUUAUCAUUAUCACGAUCUUUUAUGUGAAAACAGUAAUUAUUAAUAAGAUAACCAGGAUAUAAUAAUGCAUGAGGGCGAGGUCAUUGUGCUAGCCAUUUCAAUAAAGAUGAUUUGGAUGACUGAUUAUCGUUACCAUUUGAAACCUAUAAAAUUUAGAAAAGAAAUAGUUGAAAUUACGCCUAUACAUAACAUUUUAUAGAAAUUUUAGAAAUAAAAGGAAAUAGUUUAUUAAACCUUUUCUUGUAACCAGUAAAUGAAGUUUCAAGCAUGUUCAUCUCGUAACCACUUGUUGUUUUUAGAUUGGCGAGGAUAAUUCGAUUUCAACCAUGUCAUAUGCAUCCUAAGAUUAAGAUUCAUAAUAAAACGAAUAUAUUAGUGAUGAAUCUACCAUGUUUUAAUAAAGUUAAGAUAAGAAAACUUACCCAAUGUAAGGUUGAACUGCUUGUGUGUUCCGCAAAACAUAAUGGUGUGCUUGUUUCCAUUCGUCACGAUCAAUAUCAAUUAAACGACCACCAGGAAGCGGACCCUCAAUUUCUAUAUUAUUCGUUCUUGCAAUUGGAAUUCCAAUUGGAUCCACAUUGGGUAAAUAUUAUGUGCAAAAUUCAAUUGCCUCCUCUACAAUGUAACAUUCAGCAAUACAACCUUCGGGAUUAUUUUUAUUCCGCACAUACCCUUUUAGAUAUUUUAAAAAUCUUUCAAAGGGAUACAUCCAUCUAAGACAUACAGGCCCACAUAAUCUGACUUCUCUAACAAGAUGCACAGUUAAAUGAACCAUGAUAUCAAAAAAUUCAGGAAGGAAAUACAUUUCAAAUAAAUUAAUUGUGACCACAAGAUCCUUUUGUAUUUGGUUUAACUUCUCUACAUCCACAACUUUGCUACAAAGAUCAUUGAAGAAAAAGCAAAGUCUAGUGAUGGCAUAUCUAACAAGUUCUGGCAAAAUUCCUCGAAUAGCCAAUGGUAGGAGUUGUUGCAUCAAAGCAUGACAAUCAUGAGAUUUCAACCCAAUAAGCUUUAAAUCACUCAUUAAUACAAGAUUUUUAAAGUUUGAACAGUAUCCUUCAGGAACCUUCAGAUUAAAUAAUGUUUCGCAAAACAGUACUUUUUCCACUCUAGUCAAGGAAUAACAUGCAGCAGGUAAAUAAGUGUGAUUCCCUUCAACAACAUGUUCUAAUUCUUUCCUAAUAUUGAAAUCAACAAGGUCCAACCGAGAAUUAAGUCCAUCUUUUGCUUUUCCUAGAAUGUUCAAUAAUGUACCAUAUAUACUUUCGCACACAUUUUUUUCAAUGUGCAUUACAUCUAACAUAUGGCGAACAUGCAAAUGUUUCCAAUACUUGAGAGAAAAAAAUAUUGAUUUCUUUUUCCAGCAAAUUUUUUCAUCAGAAUCUAAUUUUUUAUGCUUUCUAGUUUUCUUCCCCCAUGAGUUUUGAAUCCCUUCAACCUUUCUUAAUGUUUGUUCACCACUUAACGGCUUAGAAGGAAAGUCUCUUUCUGGUUUACCAUCAAAAGCCUUUGUUAAAUCUCGAAACAAGUGAGAUUCUGGGAGAUAUCGCCUAUGGCGCAUGUACACAUUUUUCUUCCCAUUCUUAAGUCUACAGGACUGUGUAUCUUCCCCACAUAUAGGACAUGCAAAAUAUCCUUUAACUGAGCAUCCAGACAAGUUCCCAUAAGCAGGAAAAUCACUAAUUGUCCACAACAAGACAGCUCGUAGAGUAAAUAAUUCUUGUCUAUAUGCAUAAUAAAUUUGGACACCAACUUCCCACAAAGUUUUCAAGUCAUCAAUCAGUGGUGACAAAUAGACAUCAAUAUCGUUACCGGGCUGUCGUGGACCAGAUAUUAGCAUAGUCAACAUCAUGAAUUUUCUUUUCAUGCAUAACCAAGGAGGAAGAUUAUAAGUAAUCAUAACAAUUGGCCAACAACUAUACGAACUGCGAAAGUUUUUAUGGGGAUUUAUCCCAUCUGCAGAAAUAGCCAGCCGAAGAUUUCUUUCUUCUGCAGCGAAAUCUGGCUAUUUUUGGUCCACUAGCCUCCAUGACGGUGAGUCAGCUGGGUGACGUAGUUUGCCAUCAAUCACCCUUUCAUUGGCAUGCCAAAUUAAGUCUUUUGCAGUUCGAGGAGAUUGAAACAUCCUUUUAAACCUUGGUAUAUGAGGAAAAUACCAUAAGAUUUUAGCAAGAAUUCCCUUACUUUUCUUGGGACUCUUCCAUCUUGACAUUCCACAAGUGGGACAUGCAGAUAAAUCCUUAUAUUCUUUUCUAUAUAGGAUGCAAUUGUUGGGACAUGCAUGUAUUUUUUCAUAUUCUAAGCCUAAUGCAACCAUAAUCUUCUUUGCUUCAUAUACGGAUAAAGGUAUUUCAUUUUUAUCAGGAAGCAUAUCUGAUAAACAACUUAGUAAAUCUGAAAAACUUUUGUCUGACCAUCCAUUUCUUCCUUUAAUGUUGUAAAGCCUUAUUAAGGCAGAUAACUUAGUGAAUUUCACACAGCCAGGAAACAAAGGUUUUUCAGCAUCUUUAAGUAGAGUUUCGAAAGACUUGGGGUCACUAUUACAAGUGUCAAAUGCAUCAUGAAUAUUUCUACUGUAUCAGCAGCUUCAUCAUCUUGUUGACUGCCAUCAAAUGAAGCUUUUACAUUUGAUGGUCGUCUACUAGAAGCUCCUUCUCCAUGCCAAGUCCAUGUCUGAUAGCUUUAGUCAAUACCUUUCCAAUAAAGAUGAUUUCUUAUCUCAGCAGGUACAUGAAAGACCAAAUUACCACAUGCUUGGCAUGGACAUCUUAAAAGUUCAGGAUUACUAGCAUGAAGUAUUGCAAACUUGAGACACUCAUUUACCCCACUUUCAUAUUCUAUAGACGUUCUAGACAUCAACAUCCAAGAUUUAUCCAUAUUUAAACUACUAACUUUCCUUCAAAUGCAUCACAUAAUAUUCAUUUAGUUUUAUUAAUAUUAAAAAAUGAUAUUGUUUGCAACCACAAGAACAAUUGAUAAAAUUAUAUAAUUAACCCCAAAAAUAAGGCAAUGAGAUCACAAUUUUACUAAUUAAGAAUGAAAGUGAAAAUUAUUUGUGCGUUCUUUGUUUGUUGAACGAGAAUAGAUAUAAGACUUAGUAUCAAUUAAAAAUACAAUUAAUUCAAGUAUAACACUAAAAUUAUCAAACUAGAAAGAGAGAAUUAAAAAAAAAUCAAAAUUAAAAGAAAAAAUACCUGAAAUUCAAGAAGCGAAUGAAGCUGAACUUCUUCGUGGGUUCUUCUUUAUAGGUUGAGUGAUUGAUGAAAAAAUGAGAGAUGACUGUCAUUUAUAAUGAGAAUGAAAAUGUAUGAAACAGACUAAAUUGAAGCAAUAAUCACUUCUUAGAGUGAGUUUAUAGACUCAAUAAAUUAAAAUCUCAUUAAUUAAUAAAAAACAAUAACAUUACUUCUAAUUUGCAAGCAAUUUGAAAAUUGUUGCAGUUCUGUAAGUUUCCUUUGUUAAAAUGUAUUAAACAGACCAAAUUGAAGCUAAGUGCAUUACGUUAAUAUAUUACGAGAAACAUCUCAAUAAGAUGCUUGUUAAAAACAAAAAUAAUCUUUUAAAGAGACAUUUCAUCAAACAAGUAAUGUGCAUUCAAAUAGCAGAGCAGAUACGACACUUGGAAUCAAUUAAAUCAACCCUAGAUUGUUUAAAAAUACAAAUAAUUCAACUAUAACCCUAAAAUUAUCAAACCAGAAAGAGAGAAGUAGAAAAAAAUUAUCAAAAUUAAAGGAAACAAUACCUGAAAUUCGAGAAGGAAAUGAGGCUAAAGCAAGCUGAAAUUCUUUGUGCGUUCUUCUUCGAGAGAGGAUGGAGAUGAAAUUCAAAAUUGAGUGUUGAUAAAAAAUGCGAGGUGAUUAUUGAAAAGAAAUACAAGUUUGAAUUUUCUUAAAAGAAACAAAGACAGUCCAGAUGUAAUAUGUGAACGAAACAAGCUCACUAGGCUAAAGCAAGCUGAAAUUCUUGGAAGACGGGCAAGAUGGGCAUCUGGACUUAAUACCAUAUCAAUUACAGGUCCACAACAUGUGCGUUUUUGUUUUUUUCUUAAGUCAAUAAAAGGAAAACGUAAAUGGUAAUUAUUCAAUAAAUAUAUAAUAUAUUUCCACUUAUUUGGUAAAACGUCAUAAGUAUUUGACGUUUAAAUAAAUUGUCAUUUAUAUUUCACAAUUACUCAAUUUUUCACAAAAUGUCAUAUAUAUUUGAUAUUUCUUAAAAAUUAUCAAAUAAAAAAUGUCAAGUAUUCUGUUUUUUUCUUGUAGUGGGGGAGCCUAACAAUAAGAUUAUAAUAAUAGAAGAAUUCAAAAACUGUACUCUCAAUGUUACAAGUUUAAAAUUAUUUAAGUUAUGAAUGAAAUAGGUAAUUGGAAAAAUAGAGGGACCUAACUCCUAAGUGGUAAAAGAUAUAAACAGAAGGUGAUAAGGUUCUUAAUAAUAAUUAUAAGUGUCCUUCUCCAUUUUAUAUUUAAUUUGAAAGAAAUAUUUGGAUCCUGGACUAAUCAGAGUAAAUUCUUACAGCGAGAGUUCAUACAGAGGAUAAAAGUAAGAGUAUAUAUUCGUCCUUCAAACGAGUAGUCAAUCAGGAAUAAUUUUCGUUCAACGGGCCAUAAAAAAAAAAAUAAACAUAGAAUUAUCAUAAUAUAUUAACUAUAGAUAUGAAUUGAGGAGAAAAAGAUAAAAUUAACAUGAAAAUGAGCGAAAAUUCAAUGAAGAUAACUAAGAAUGACUUUCGCUAUCACUAUUCUGGGAGUUGGAAUUCAGCUGCUAAAUAAAAACAGAAAUAAAAUUGUUUAUAUAUAUAUAGCUACAAUCAACACGGAGAGAGAUUCGUAUAAGAGACCUCUUUUAUUACAACACGAUAUGAUAUAAUGGAGGAAAAAUAUUAAAGCCACCGGAAAGCUCAUUCUUUUCUCCUAAUUGCCAUUAAUGAACUUCUUCUGAAGAUCUUUCACAACGUUUGGGUCCAACUGGAAUGCCUUGCCAAGAAAAUCGGGAUUGAUUGGAGGAUCGGCUCCGAAGACCGUGUCGGCUAUGGUAAUGACACCAGGGAACUGGCUGCCCAAACUGGCAAACGCAACUGCAUUUGUUUUUCCAAUGUUGAAUUGGAAGUGAAUCAUACCAAUUGGAAACACAAAAACAUCUCCCUUGUUCAGAACUUUUGCGAUGAGUGUGUUAUUUAGUUGGUUCGAUGUCACAAAACCAACAUAAAGAGUUCCUUCCAGGACCACCAGGAUUUCAGUGGCACGGGGGUGAGUGUGAGGUGGAUUUUGACCGUAUGGCGCGUAGUCAAUACGGACUGCUGAUAUGCCAAGAGUGUUAAGUCCUGGAAUUUGCUCAACAUUUGCAUUUGUCACACUAAAGCCAAGUCGAUUUGCUGUGUUUCCAGGCUUG